CAAAGGGUGCAAGGGGGAUUGGGUUGAGAGUGAGUAUCUUGUGCAUUUCAUUCUGGUUAUAGUAACGGCAGCCUAGCCUUCAUUAUUUGUUCCAUCGGUUAGUGCUCUAUAUGAUAGGCUUUAGUAACAACGUUGCCGUUGCACAUAUAAUGGAGAGGCUUUACAUUAGGCAUACAACAGCUAUGCUCAACAUUGGAAGAAAGGAACUAGUAUAUGGUUUUCUGCUCCUUACCUUCUGGGCUUGUCCGUUGUACUGUGAAUGUCAUUGCCCAGGGGGACAAUGCUUUUAUGGACCAAGUUAAAUGUACUAUUAGUUUUGCUCCAGGUUAUGGAACCAAUUCCCUCAUCAAAAUAUCCAGGGCGACACAUGUAUUUCAGUCAUAUCCUACUUAAUUAGGAUGAAGUAUGGUUAACUAGAUGAUAAUUGGGAAUAUAGUUUCUGAGUUUUUCUGGAUACCCUUUGUGCUUAGAACGUCAAAACGUAAGUUGCUUUAGUUCUACAGAUGUAUACUGCUUCAAGUGCCAAGAGGUGUCAAAACGUAAAUCACUAUAUUCUUGCUUGUUUCCAUGAUUUCAUUAAAUUCUCAAUUUUCACUUUUCGUUGUGAACUUGUGUGUGCAGGCGUGGUUGGUUUGACACCGGUGUAAGGUCCUUUCCAAUCAGUUUGCUAUAAGAAUUGGCUGCUAUGGUUCUAGAGUUUCUCAUAUAGAGCUUAAUCUGUUGAGAGUGUAAUGUAACAUUGUGGACAAAUUCAUCAUACCAUUUGUGGAGUAUUUUGAUCUCAAUAAACUUGAGUUGCUAUGGUUACAAUAUGAAUGAAGAACAUGCAAUUGACUUUUGAAAGCAGCUAAAUUGGAUUUAUAAUGUUCCUUCAUCCAUAAGAUUGAGCACAAUUCUUGAGUUAAGUAUGCGUUGUUGAUUGAAGUUGCUAUGUGCACAUUCGAUAAAAUUAGAAUGGCACAUGGAAGAUUUUCAUGGUCCAAGUGCACGGAGGAUGUAUAAAUGAACUUCCGUUCGACAAGAUUGAGCGCAAGUCUAUAGUGUUCUUUCCGCAGUUCACCGGAUUUAGAUUGUGAAUGGCGUAGCUAGUCAUUGAAUCGAGUAUGAAAACCUAACUGCUAGAAGCCUGCGUUUUAUUUUUUUCUAGUUUGGCACAAGGAAAAGAUGAAACAUGAAAGGGAGGGAGGGUUAGUUUUUUUUUUUGGCCUUUCUAUUUUGGACAAGGGAAGAGUUGUAAAAGGGCAGGAGGCUCAGUUUUGCACUUUGUUUUUUCUAUUUUUGGUUCAAAGGUACAACCAAAGGAGGCUGAAGUUUUUACUUCUUGGCACCUCAAGUGGCAUAACAAUCUGUUCAGCUGCUUGACAAAGGUGCAAUUUGUCAAAGAUUCAUCGGCAGUUCGUCACAACUCAUAAUGGAGUCCACAUUAAAUUCUUUAACAGUAAACAUAAGUUUAAAUAACUGUGUACUGUGUACCGUUGAUUUUCUCAAGAGAAAUCCAUUAAACUAACAAAUCCAAGUAACUUAAAUUCGUGAAAAACCUAAUAUUUACAUGUGUUGGAUAAAUAUCAACAAUCAAUGACAAAUUUAUAUAUGCUAAUUGUUUAUACCAUGCUUGACCAAUCCUGAAACUUCUGAGCACCAGUCAACGUUAUACCGUCAAGGACCCAGAAGAGUUUCCCUCCAACUAAGAGGCCAAUCACAGCGCAACACGUGUCGACAUCAGAAGCCAAUCACAACACGACACGUGUCAAUGUCAGAGUGAAACUAGAAACUCUCUUCUAUAAAUAGAGAUCAUUCUCUCACAAUAUUUCCGUAUGUCAUUUGUACUAAAUCAUUCACUAGUACUCACAAAAGGAGAGUUUGAACCUAUGUACUUGUAUAAACCCUUCACAAUUAAUGAGAACUCCUCUACUCCGUGGACGUAGCCAAUCUGGGUGAACCACGUACAUCUUGUGUUUGCUUCCCUGUCUCUAUCCAUUUACAUACUUAUCCACACUAGUGAUCGGAGCAAUCUAGCGAAGGUCCCAAACUUAACAUUUUCUGUUGUACCAAAGUCCCCACUGAUUUUGUACAUCAACAUUUUGCGCCGUUUGUGAGAACGACACUUAUUCCCACUCUCUUCAGCUUUGUUAAACUGGUUUUCACCAUUCGUACACUCUCUUUUGACCAGGCAUCCCUUUCCAACAUGGGGAGUGAAUGAAGCCACAACACACAGAAUAACACCCCUCUUACACCUGGUGUGAAGCAACGAAAAAAGGAACAAAAGAAGUUUGCUCUUCAAGCUAAAGUCGAUGAGCUGGAGGCUCAGAACAACAAGAUAACGAUGAAGAAUGAGAUCCUCCAAGAGCAGUAUGAGAAGGUUUUCGAGAUGCUCCACGAGGCUAGAUAUACUAAAACACACGAGCUCAUAACCCUUGUGGAAGUCAACUAUCAACUGGGUGCCCCCCAACACAGAGGGUUAUUUGCCCUCGACAUGGGUAUUCCCGUUGAGGAGCGAGCUACUCAUUGAAAUGGCAACCAACAUGAGACUUCUCUCAACCCAGCUGCUUCGACCCGAAGCAGGAGGAGAAGAGGAAGACACCUCCUUACAGAAGGAGUGGAAGGAUCGAAAGUCGUCUUUCGCGACUGUCGAGACUUUUAAAAGCAACGUCGAGAUAAUCCCAUCCAUGUAAGCUCGAAGAUCAAUGACCCAAGGGUCUCUAAAAGACUCGGUACCCUCCCAUGUCCCAGGCCGGCUACUAAUUUGGGGAAAGGGCAACAAGUCAUAGAGAAACACGAAGGUAUAGGGGACUUAGAGAUGUUCCGACAGACUUACCUUAGAAGUCAAUACGGCGAGUCCAGGGAAAAAUCACAUGGUCUUGAUCAAACCUUCAUACUUCCAAGAGGAGAUGGAGAUUUAUGAAAGAAAGCUCCAGUGGUACAUGACUCCACUCAUGACCCUUUUGUCCUACAACUUUUUAAGGAAGUAAACAAGUUGAAGGUCGAACGACAAGCUGAGAUACCUGAUUGGAACCAACCUAGGCCUGGCCCUCUUACAAGAAGGAUCCUUGACACCUUCUCCAAGCAAAGACAAAGCAGAAGCUUGGCUUGCAACUCUAUACUGGAAAGAAGGACCCGAUUGAACACCUUAACCUUUUUGAGUCCACCAUGGCAUACUGAUACACACGGACGAAAAGUGAUGUCUUCUCUUCCCCUCUACCCUCUCUGGUGGAGCUCUAAACUGGUAUUGCCGUCUUCCACCUGAGACGGUAAACUCAUUUGAGGAAUUGAGGAAAUUGUUUGUUUCUCAACACAUUUUCCAGACCGAUUGCUUGCACUUUGUGGAUAACUUGUACACUAUUCGCUAGAAGCCAGACGAGUCAUUACGUAUGUAUGUUGGCUGCUUCAGCCAUGAGUAUUCCCGUUGUGAGGCAGACGACAAGACUGCCCUCAAAGCCUUCACGGCAGGGCUACGUGACUGUUUCUUUAAGUACAUGAUCAAUGCCAACACUUGGAAGACUUACUCUGAGGUGAUGGCCUAGGCUUAUAACCAUGCCUCCGCUAAGGCAAGGACAUACCAAGGGAAACCCCACACAGCCACCCCUUAUCAGCAAGUAGGGAGUGGAAGCCAGAUCCAACCAAAUGAGAAGACCUCGACCUUCCAAAGGGCAGCGGUUCCUUCCUCUGCCUUACUUAAUACUUCGCCAAGUCAACAGAUAUAUCAAUCUAAGGGCAAAAGGAAAGAUUUCCAUCCUCACCAGUCUCAUUUUAGUAAAAAAAGUAAGGGACACUAUCGCGAUAACCAAGGGUAUCGCCACGAUAAUGCCCGCCCCCAGGCGGUCAACAUAGUGAGCCAAGCACGUGUUAGGACAGGCUUUACCCCGAGGUAUGAGACAUACACACCUUUGAAUGCCACAUGCGUGGCCAUUUACCCCAGCAUAACACACCUGAUACCAAAGCUAAUGCCGAGGCAGUCGGGUUACAAGCCCACGAAGAACACAUGCACGUUUUGUUGCUACCACGAGCAUAACGGCCAUGACGGCGAGAAGUGUAUCACCUUUUGUGAUCAUAUUGAAGCUUUGGCACGUGAAGGAAAAAUUGAUCAAUUUCUCCUUCACCCUCUAAAGGGUAACCGUAACCAACGCCAGGUGAAUGUGAUAUAUUCCAUAAGUGGUGGCACACCCAUAUCUAAAUCUUCCAACAGGGCCAUGAAAAAUAUGAACGUGCUUUAAGGUCUGGCCACCAAAUGUUUCACUUGGAAGACAUCAGGGGAGGCAAGUAUCAAAAGCCUAACUGGGAUCCAAUAUGUUUCUACCCUGAGGAAGAAAGAGGUAUCAUCUACCCUCACAACGACCCAUUGAUCGUGUAAGCUCGCAUAGCCAACUUUGAAGUACGACGAAUCUUGGUAGACAUGGGAGCUUCGGUCAAUAUCAUGUUUGAUGAAGCUUUCAAGACAUUUAAUGUAGCUGAACACUUGAUCGAUCGCUCGAUUUCUCAUCUGAUAAGCUUCUCUGGUGAUAUCGUGCAACCUUUAGGAAGCAUACACUUACCUUUCAUCAUUGGUACAGGCCCUUACACAGCUACCAUUACCACUAACUUCUUGGUGGUUAAUUGCCAAACGACAUACAAUGUCAUCUUGGGACGCACAUGCAUCAAUAAUCUCAAGGCCAUGGUAUCUACACAUAUGUUGUUGAUGAAAUUUCCAACCCGCUAUGGCAAUGGUUACAUCAGAGGAGAUCAACUUAGUGCACGUUCAUGUUAAAACACUUCGGUCAAGCAACAACAUCUGCCUGUACCCAAGGAAACCUUUUUUAUACAUGACCAAGUUAUAAAGACCAGCCCAGAUGAAGCCAACUUGGAUCUUCACGGUGGCAACAGUCAACUCGACGAUCCUCGAGAUAACUCUUUCACCCAGUAAGCACAACCCACUGAAGAGUUGGAGAAGGUCUCUAUCUCAAAAGAUUAUCUGGAUCGCAUGGUGAAGAUUGACACCAUCUUGUCACCACCCAUUCGGUUGGCAUUGAUCUCUUUUUUGCAAGAGAACACCGAGGUCUUUGCCUUGUCAUACGAGGACAUGCCAGGCAUCUCUCCCGAUAUCAUCUGUCAUCGUUUAAGUAUUGACCUCAAAACCAAGCUAGUGAGAUAGAAGUGAAGAUCUUAUGACGCUGAACGGUACGAGGCAAUGAAGGCAGACGUUGAAAAACUCAAAGGCAUAGGCUUCGUCCGCGAAGUCAAUUAUCCAACGUGGGUAGCAAAUGUUGUCUUUGUUAAGAAAAAUUUGACCAAGGAAAGUCUUCUGCUUCAAAAGGUCUUGUGGAGAAUGUGUGUCGAUUACACCGACCUAAACAAAGGAUGCCCGAAUGAUAGCUUUCUUCUUCCUCUCAUAAACAGACUUAUAGGCUCUAUGGCAGGGUGUGAGCUCCUGAGUUUUAUGGAUGCUUACUCAGGAUACAACCAAAUCCUCAUGAACCCUCCAGACCAAGAACACAUAGCCUUCACUACUGACAGGGAACUAUAUUGCUAUAAAGUCAUGCCCUUCGGCCUAAAGAAUGCAGGAUCAACUUAUCAGAGACUGGUCAAUUCAAUGUUUGCCAAACAGAUUGGAAAGAGCAUGGAAGUUUACGUUGAUGAUAUGCUAGUCAAGAGCAAACGUGACCAACACAUCACCAACCUAUCUGAAACUUUCACCAUUCUGAAGAGGUAUCGAAUGAGGUUGAACCCCAACAAAUGUGCCUUCGGCGUAGGCUAUGGCAAAUUCUUAGGCUUCAUAAUAAGCCAACGAGGCAUUGAGACUAAUCCCGAGACGAUCAAAGAAAUCCUCGAUAUGAAAGAACCGGUAACUUCAAAAGACAUCCAGAGCCUUACUGGCAAGGUGGCAGCCUUAACUAGGUUCAUCUCUAAGACCACAGACAGAUGUGCUCAUUUCUUCAAAGCACUUAAGGGAAGUAAGAAGUACAUUAAAUGGACUGAUGAAUGUACUGAGGCAUUCAAGAACCUCAAAGACUACAUGAGUAAAGCCCAUCUGUUCUUCAAACCAUAGGUUGGUGACACUCUCAUUAUCUAUAUAUCGGUGUCGGUUUCAGCAGUAAGUUCCAUUCUCAUUCGAAAUAUGGUAAUGUCGAAUGGCCUGUCUACUAUGUUAGCAAAGCCUUACAAGAUACGGAGACAUGAUACUUCAACAUUGAGAAAUUGGCUCUAGCAUUGGUCAUAUCUGCUCGAAAACUUCGCCCUUACUUCCAAGCACACUCCAUCAUCGUGCUUACCAAUCAUCCUCUUCGAUAGAUACUCCAAAGUCCUGACACUUCCGGGUGAAUGAUCAAAUUGGCGAUAGCAUUAGGUGAGUUUGACAUCUCCUACCAACCAAAGCCAACUGAGAAGGGCCAAGCAGUGGCAGACUUCAUCGUUGACUUCACAUAUCUUGUUGACAUUGUUUCUACGCCUAAAGAAGUGGUUUCAUUACCCUCGGAAGCUCAGAAAAUAUAACCAACAGUCCCAUCAUGGAUUCUAUAUGUUGAUGGCUCGUCCAACCAACAGGGUUGUGGAGCAGGACUAGUCCUUACAACCUCUGACAAAGUAGCGAUGAAGUAUGCUAUUCGUUUCAAAUUCAAGGCGUCAAAUAAUGAGGCCGAAUAUGAAGCCCUCAUAGCAGGCUUACGUUUGGUCAAACACCUUGAGGUUAAAUGAAUUGAUAUCUUCAGUGAGUCCUAAUUGGUGGUUAACUAGGUCACCAACAACUUUGACACUAAGGAUAGCUCAAUGGCAUCAUAUCUGGCACAAACACAAUUGUUGCUCAAGCACUUCCACUACCAGAUCACCCAAAUUCCUCGAGUGGAAAACAGUCAUGCAGAUGCUUUGGCUCGCCUCGCCUCAGCGAUGGAAGACAAGAUUGGGAGAAAAAUUCAGGUUGAAUUGUUGGCAGCACUAAUCACUAUGGCUGCGGAAGUGUGCAACUUACAACAAGGGGAUAGUUAGAUUACCCCGAUUUAUAGAUUCCUUGCUCAUGGCACCCUUCCAAAUGAUAAAGUCCAAGCUAAGUAGAUUCGAUACAAGGCUACCCGUUUACUUGAUCAUUAAUGACCAACUCUACAAGCGGGGUUUUAACCUACCAUACCUAAGAUGCCUUACGCUUGCAGAAGUGGAAACUGUCAUUCGGGAAAUACAUGAAGGAGUCUGCGGAGAUCAUGUUGGAUUUCGAUCCCUAGCACACAGGACUUUUCGCCAAGGAUAUUACUGGCCAACACUCCACCAAGAUACCAUCAGAAUAUUCCGCUCAUGUGAUAAGUGUCAACACUACGCAACUAUUCCUCACUCCCCUCCCGAGCCGCUCACUUCUAUGAUCAACCUUUGGCCCUUGGCCCAAUGGGGACUUGAUUUGAUCGGCCCAAUGCCUGCAGGGAAGGGCAAGGUUCGCUAUGCAAUCGUUGCAGUUGACUACUUCACAAAGUGGGCCGAAGUAGAACCCUUGGCAACCAUUACUGAGGUAAAAAUAGAAGACUUCGUAUGGAAGAAAAUCCUUUGCAGAUUCGGCAUUCCCAAUGCGAUAGUCACUGACAACGGGCGACAGUUUGACAACAAUAAGUUUAGGAUGUUCUGCUCUAAGUUCAACAUCAACUUAUGUUUUGCCUUCCCAGCUCAUCCCCAGUCUAAUGGACAAGUUGAAGCCAUCAACAAAAUAAUCAAGCGAACUUUGAAAACCAGCUUGGACAAGGCUAAAGGUUGUUGGCCAGAAUUUGUACCCCAAGUUCUUUGGUCAUACCGCACUUCGUAUCGGACAUCAACAGGAGAAACCCCAUUCUCACUUGCCUUUGGUACAGAGGCAGUUGUCCCAGUUGAGCUUGAGCAAGCAACGUUCCUAGUCCAGAACUACAUGUAAAGCGAAAAUGACAAACAACUUACCCUCAACUUAGAUCUAGUCGAGGAACACAGAAACCAGGCUCACUUGAGGAAUGUCGCUUACAAGCAGCGCAUCUCCAACUACUAUGACUCAAGGUUCAAACCUCGUUCUGUCAAAGUUGGGGACUGGGUAUUGAAGAAAAGAUUACUCUGCGACAGAGUCCCGAGUGAAGGAACACUUAGUCCAAACUGGGAUGGACCUUUUGAAGUUGUUGGCAUCAGUCGCCCUGGCUCCUACAAGCUUAGAAGCUCCGAUGGCAAGACCAUUGGCCAUCUAUGGAACGCUGAUCAUUUGAAGUACUAUUACAAGUAAACUCACAUUGUACAAGUGUUAAGCUUUAGUCGUUCGGCAUCCUAUGUAACGAAGACUAUUUGGCAUGAAUUCAAUAAAGAGGUGAUUUAGACAACUCGGUCCUAAUCUUCUUACAUUCCUAGCAAUGAAACACUCAGGUUCAAAGCUUCAACAUGAAACAAAGUCUAAGUAUAUGUCAACAAGACUAUACAAAUAAACGAACAGCUUCACAAUAUAUUCGUUCAAUCAUACAUUCCAACACAUUCAUACAUAAGCCAACUGUGCUUUGAAAGGGUUUGCAUACUUUGUGUCAUUCGACACUUGCUACAAUGUGCCUAGACACCUUGCCCUUAUUCUCACCAACCAGGUGAUGAAAUGUACAACCCAUACCCUUCUUCAUGCCAUCAACCAGGUAAUGAAAUGUAUAACUCGUACUUUCUUUCAUGCUACCAACUAGGUGAUGAAAUGUAUAACCCGUACUCUAAUAUCAUUUGGCAACUUGCCACUCAUGCCACUAACUAGGUGAAGAAGGAACUCAUCUUCAUGCCACCAACCAGGUGAUGAAGGAACUCAUCUUCAUGCUACCAACCAGGUGAUGAAAUGUAUAACCCGUACUCUCCUUCAUGCCACCAACCAGGUGAUGAAAUGUACAACCCGUACUCUAAUAUCAUUUGGCAACUUGCCACUCAUGCCACCAACCAGGUGAAGAAGGAACUCAUCUUCAUGUCACCAACCAGGUGAUGAAAUGUACAACCCGUAAUCUCCUUCAUGCCACCAACCAGGUGAUGAAAUGUAUAACCCGUACUCUAAUAUCAUUUGGCAACUUGCCAUUCAUGCCACCAACCAGGUGAAGAAUGAACUCAAACUUGUGCCACCAACCAGGUGAUGAAAUGUGAUGAAAGGUGAUAAAGGAACUCACCUUCGUACCACCAACCAAGUGAUAAAAGCAACUCACCAUUCAUUCCACCUACCAAAAGACGAGUGGUACAACUUGUACAUAUGAACUCCUAGCAUUCACAAAUAAUAAAAAACCCUCAAGCUUGACAACUCAACUAGGGGAGCACUUAUACCCAACAAGAGUUAUAGUCGCCAACAAAGUCUUAUUACAAGCCAACAACAACGUCAGUGCAUAGCAUACGAAGAUCAAGCUAUUCAGCCCUCUUACAUCUGCUUCAGACAUUUCCCCUCUGUAACAAUGCAAAAACUACAACUCGUAGAAAGCUUCACACACUCUUGAUCAAGACAGUGUGAAGCAAAACCAAUUUAUGGUGCCAACAAGAGCUUCAUUAAAGGAGUUCAACCACAAUGCUCAAAAGCUUCACACACUCUUGAUCAAGAUAAUGUGAAGCAAAACCAAUUUAUGGUGCCAACAAAGGCUUCAUCAAAGGAGUUCAACAAUAAUUCUCAAAAGCUUCACACACUCUUGAUCAAGACAGUGUGAAGCAAAACCAAUUUAUGGUGCCAACAAGAGCUUCAUCAAUGGAGGGCAACCACAAUUCUCAAAAGCUUCAUACACUCUUGAUCAAGAUAGUGUGAAGCAAAACCAAUUUAUGGUGCCAACAAAAGCUUUAUCAAAGGAGUUCAACCACAAUUCUCAAAAGCUUCACACACUCUUGAUCAAGACAGUGUGAAGCAAAACCAAUUUAUGGCGCCAACUAGAGCUUCAUCAAUGGAGGGCAACCACAAUUCUCAAAAGCUUCACACACUCUUGAUCAAGACAAUGUGAAGAAAAACCAAUUUAUGGUGCCAACAAGCGCUUCAUCAAUGGAGGGCAACUACAAUUCUCAAACCUUCGAAGCAAAUUCAAGACUGUUCGAAGAAAAUUCAAUUUAUAUGGUUCAUCCAAACCUUCGACUACUACAAGGUGUGGCUUGCAUCACAAUCUCUUGCUCAACAGUGUGGAAGUAAAAUUUGCAUAUGUUGUCUCUCCCACAUUUUCAAAUUUCUAGUUUCCAAAAAAAAAAAAAAGGGGAAAUCCAACAAAAGCUUCAUCAAUGGAGGACAACUACAAAUUCUCAAAAGUUUCACACUAUCUUGAUCAAGAUAGUGUGAAGCAAAAUCAAUUCAUGAUACCCAACAAAAGCUUCAACUCCAAAGUUUCACCUACUAAGAUUCAACUCCAAAGCUUCACCUACAAAAGCUUCACCUACAAAAGCUUCACUCAUAAAAGCUUCACCCAUAAAAGCUUCACCCACAAUAGCUUCACCUACAAAAGCUUCACCCAUAAAAGCUUCACCCACAAAAGCUUCACCUACCACAAAAGUUUCACCCACAAAAGCUUCACCCACCACAAAAGCUUCACCCAUAAAAGCUUCACUAACAAAAACUUCAUCAAUGAAGGACAACUACAAAUUCUCAAAAGCUUCACACUAUCUUAAUCAAGAUAGUGUGAAGCAAAAUCAAUUCAUGGUACCCAACAAAAGCUUCAACUCCAAAGCUUCACCUACAAAGCUUCAACUCCAAAGCUUCAUCUACAAAGUUUCAACUCCAAAGCUUCACCUACAAAAGCUUCACCCACAAAAGCUUCAUCUACAAAAGCUUCACCUACAAAAGCUUCACCCAUAAAAGCUUCACCCACCACAAAAGUUUCACCCACAAAAGCUUCACCCACCACAAAAGCUUCACCAACAAAAGCUUCACCCACCACAAAAGCUUCCCCCACAAAAACUUCACCCACAAAAGCUUCCCCCACCACAAAAGCUUCACCCACAACGAAAGCUUCACCCACAAAAGCUUCACCCACCACAAAAGCUUCGCCAACCACAAAAGCUUCACCAACAAAAGCUUCACCCACCACAAAAGCUUCACCUACAAAAGCUUCAACACAAAAGCUUCACCUAUAAAAGCUUCACACUAUCUUGAUCAGGAUAGUGUGAAGCAAAAUCAAUUCAUGGUAUCCAAUAAAGCUUCAACCUACAAAGCUUCACCUAUAAAGCUUAAAAUAUAAAUAUAUAUAUAUAUAUAUUUUUUUUUUUUGGAAAUUCGAAAAUUCAAAAAAUAAAAUUCAAAAUUAAAAAAAAAAAAUCGAAAAUUCAAAAAAAAAAAAAAAAUUCCUAGGCCUCAUUUUCUUUGGGCCUAACAACUUUCAUAACAAAUAUAUAUGAAGGAGAAGUUUUGGGCUACCAUUUAGAAAGGAAAAUGGUGAAGUUUUGUUACUUUGGAAACUUGGCUACUAGCAAGACACCUCAUUCGUCAACUCCCUCGACCGGAGACUUGGGGGACUCCUACCAUAUGCUACUGCACCUUGAUACUCGGAAGUCUCACGACUACUCAGUGACUUGGAUUUUUUCAAGUCUCCAACCGAGAAGUUUUCCUCAUUCGGGAAAUUAAGGGAGCACUACCUCAACCUACAUGCUUCACUCACAAAGCUUCAACAUACAAGCUUCAACAAAAGGAAAAAUUCAAAGAACUUAGUGAAGAAGGCCUUGGUGUAUUUAACACAAUACGUUAAAAUGAAGCAAAACUUGUUUAUUGAUAUCUUUGAUAAGUUACAAAUGUGUACAUAUACAUGAAUCAAAAUAAACAAACAAGAGGCCACAAAGGUUGCUCAUGAGAAGUCUCAGCAGUCGGCAGAGCCCCAGAAAGUGGAGGCUCCAGAGGAUGAUUAUUCGGAGCCUCAGUACUAGGCAGAACCCCAGAAGAAGGUGGCACCGAAGGUUGAUCAUUUGGAGCUUCAUUACGCGAUACAGCCCCAGAAGACGAAUGCAAUAAAUGCCUUUGGAACAAACCCACAAACAUCUGAUGAUCAAGUAAAAUCUGACCAUCAGAUUCCUACAACUGGUCGAGCUUCCUCUUCAUGUUUGUAGCAUAGUCAUGUGCGAGCCUGUGCAACUGUUUAUUCUCAUGUUUGAGCCCUCUGAUCUCCUGUUUGAGACUUAUCACUUCAGCUGCCAAUGAUUCAACUUGGCGGGUUCGAGCAAAUAGGCGUUGGGCCAUAUUAGACACAGAACCUGCACACUGAACACUGAGAGCUAGAGAAUCCUUAAUAGCCAACUCAUCAGACCGUUUAGAAAGUAGUCUAUUAUCUUUUGGAGUGAGAAGGUUCAUGGCCACCACCACAGCGGUCAUAUCAUUCUUCAUUACAGAGUCCCCAACGGUAAGAGGACCGGUAAGGGAUAAAAAGGAUGGGUACCAUAUGUUGUCUUGAGAAGGCAUGGCUACCUCUUCACCAAAGUUUAAGUCAAAAUGACGGUCGAAUGUGUAAGACAUUCUCAAAAAUGAUGAAGGAGAAAUGAGGUGCAAUAAAUCUCUGAAGUACAAAAAUAAAGGGAAAAUUCCUACAAGCAAUAACUCUCUGAAUGUACUUCUUGCACACAAUUGAUGCCCUUAUAAAAGAAAGGGCAACAUAGCCGUUGGUUCAAAAAUCGAAGAGGCACCACUAUUCGGAUUUCGAAGAGGCACCACUCUCCACACGUAACAUUAGCUUCUCGGGUACCACAGAUAACUUUGCCAAAGAUCUCUGACAAAGUUUAGACACAUAAAUUUUGAAGGUCCAGCUACCCUACUAUUACCCACAAGGGUAAAGGAAUAACACCAUUGGUUGAUAAUUGGAAAGUCCCUAUAUGUGUCAACCUCUAUGCUUCGUGACAAGGUAGACUGGUAAAAAUGCUCAACCUUUACUCACAUUCGAGAAAACACUUCCAACAGGAUUACUUGCUCAAAAAUCGAAGAGGCACCGCCCUCCGAAUCUCAAGAGCCAGACUCACAACAUGAUUGUUUUCUCAAAAAUCGAAGAGGCACCGCUCUCCGAAUCUCGAGAGCUAGACUCCUAACUGGAUUGCUUUCUCAAAAAUCGAAGAGGCACCGCUUUUCGAAUCUCGAAAGCCGGACUCCCAAUAGGAUUGCUUUCUCAAAAAUCGAAAAGGCACCACUCUCCGAAUCUUAAGAGCCAGACUCACAACAGGAUUGCUUUCUCAAAAAUUGAAGAGGCACCGCUCUCCGAAUCUCGAGAGCCAGGUUCCCGACAUGAUUGCUUGCUUGAAAAUUGAAGAUGCACCGCUCUCUGAACUUCGAGAGCCAGAUUUCCUUGGAUAAAGCUUAUCUGUAAUCUUCACACACAACAUCAGCUUUCCAGAUACCACAGACCACUUUUUCAAAGUGCUCUGACAAAGUUAAAACACGUGAAUCUUGCAGCUCCCACUACAUUGCUAUGACCGAGAAAGGUAAAGGAACAGCGUUACCACUCGUUGUUGGGACAAUUCCUAUAUAUAUCAACCUUCAUCCUCCAUAGCCAGGCAUACCUGCAAAUAAAAAAAAAUGCUCAAUUUUUCUUCACAUUCGAGAGGGCACUCUCAGCAGAGUCUCUCGAAAUACUCAGCUUAUUUUCCCCCUGAUAAUACCUCUGCAAACAAGCCACACCAGAGCAAGAGUAUCUCAUAUCAUCAUGGUUAAAAGCAAGAGUAUCUCAUAUCAUGCUUUUUCCCUGUCUUUUCCUUUGGCCUUGUUCUUACCUGCAAGACAAAAAGAAAGAGAGCAAUCAGUCAGCACUUGGAAUCAAGCUUCUAGUCAGGAACUGACUGCUUAGAACCCCUUGCCUGAUUACUUACCUGACAUUGCUCUCGAGUACUCAUCUUCAACAUCUUAUGCUUCCGGAGAAGAUAUCACAUUUGCCUGAGGAACAUAUAGAGCAAGUGAGAAGGAUACAAGGAAGCAUGUGGAGACAAACGUAACAGAACACCUGCCGAUACAUCUACUACUUUGUCAACAGCAAAAGUAUUCCAUAUCAUCAGGGUCGAAUGUACUUUAGAUUUGAUGGACUUGUUUUGACCCUCAAAUUCUUGAGUUGGCCUUAUACUCUGGAAGAAACCAGAAAACACUCUUGCCCAGUUCAAGAAUAAGCAUGUGGAAAGUUACUUCUUCAAAAGCAAAAGUAUCUCAUAUCAUCUAUUCUCCAUUUGCUUCUCCUUAUCCUUGUUGCUGUUUACGACACAAGGAGAAGGAGAAUAAUCAACCGGAAGCUGAAGUCGAACCUUCGAUCCAGGUUGCUUGCUUGGAAGUCUGAUUGCUUACCUUUUUUGUUACCUCAUUCGGCAAAUUUCCUGGCUCGGCGACUUGGGGGAGUCCUAUUAUAGGGUUUGUAUCGCACUUGACCAAGCCUGAAACUAUAAGUAAGCUUCAAGUGAAAUUGAUACAUUACCUUGUGCAUCUUCAUUAGUUAAAGAUACCACCCCUGGAUGGAGAAAAAGUACUUCCAGAGAAGAUGCCACAUCUACAUAUGAGACAUAUAAGGCAAGUGAAAAUGAUACCACACUUCGGUACUUAGAAGUUUCGUGAUUACUCAAUGGCUUGGAUCUUGCAAGUCCCCAACCGAGGAGCUUCCCUCACUCGGGAACUUAGGGGAGCACUGUUUAUAUCAUACUUGACCAAUACUGAAACUACUGAGCACCGGUCAACGUUAUACCGUCAAGGACCCAGAAAAGUUUCCCUCCAACCAGGAGGCCAAUCAUAGCGCGACACGUGUCGACAUUAGAAGCCAAUCAUAGCGCGACACAUGUCAACAUCAGAAGCCAAUCACAACACGACACGUGUCAAUGUCAGAGUGAAACUAGAAACUCUCUUCUAUAAAUAGAGAUCAUUCUCUCACAAUAUUUCCGAAUGUCAUUUGUACUAAAUCAUUCACUAGUACACACAAAAGGAGAGCUUGAACCAAUGUACUUGUGUAAACCCUUCAAAAUUAAUGAGAACUCCUCUACUCCGUGGACGUAGCCAAUCUGGGUGAACCACGUACAUCUUGUGUUUGCUUCCCUAUCUCUAUCCAUUAACAUACUUAUCCACACUAGUGACCAGAGCAAUCUAGAGAAGGUCACAAACUUAACACUUUCUAUUGUACCAAAGUCCUCACUAAUUUUGUGCAUCAACACUAAUAAAUAAUAAAUGUGAACAAAUAAAUUAACAAAAUAUGAACACAACGAAUUAAUAUUUAAACUGACUUCUAGUGAAUUUUCUGUGGUUCACUCAGUAAGAAGGUUUGGGAUUGUAGAACCCCAAGGUUGAGCUCAAAUUCAUUCUCCAUGGUCCAUCUUUUGAUAAUUAAUUAUAUAUAUAUCUACUAAUUAAUAAAACACUCUUUGUCAACCAAAAUUCUAUGAAAUUACCAGUUUAACCCUCUAAUUAAAACAGAACAUGAAUAAGAAAUAUGGGGUAGAAAUGUAAUUUCACACAACCAAAUUUUGCUAUUUUUUUUCAAAACAUCACCUACAUGUAAUCCUAACAUAUCUCUAAUUAAAAAAAAUUAAAAAAAUUAAAAACUUCUCGCUCUCACAUUCUCUAUCACUCUCUUCAUCUCUCAUUCUAUUUCAAAAACCAAAAACAAAAAAUUUUCUCACACAUUUUGUGUGUGCCCAUAUGCUAAUGUAUAUAAAAUUAAUUAGUACACCCCAAAGCCCAACCCCCAAGGUUGAGCCCAAAUUCAUUUUUCAUGAUCCAUUACUCUAAUCACUAUCUAUAAAAAACAAAGCCUUAUAAAGUGAAAGAACAUUUUGGUAGUGAUGACCAAUGUAGGACAAUAAACUUUUUACUCAAAAUUUUCAACAACAUGUGUUUAUGUGAAAUUACGUUGGUAAAUUUGAGCUCAAGGCUUCUGAUAUGAAAGUAAAUUAAUGUUUUUAAUUACCGGAGCUACAAGCUGAACAAUGUUAGCAUUGUUGUGGCUAUGCUAACUUUUCGUAGUUCCAUUGUGAACCCCGAACCCUAUCCAACCCUGUUGUUGUUGAUAGUGAUUAGUCAACUUUAGUCACGAGUUGCUUUACACCUGAGUUCCUAAACUAACAGACACAGUAGGCUUAGUAGGCAAAUUAAGCCAGUAUUUUUAAACAACACGUAGCCGGUGAGUGGCGACUGGUCUGAUUCAUGCCAUCAUUCUGGUAAGUGUAGCCAACAAACUACUACACCUGUACCAGAUCCAACAAACAUCUCAUCAAUAGGAACAGCCCGACCUAGCUAUCUUGCUUAGGCAUCACGGAAUAAUUUAAAGAAAAGCUCCUGGUGUUUUAAUUUGAGAACUUUAACGAAAAACUCUCGGUACUGUUCAUUUUAACGAAAAAUCACAUUUUUACACUAAAAAAUCAAUCUUGGUACUAUUCACUUUACCCUUUAUUUUGUCCUUAUCGUUAAAACUUAAAGUUUUCAAGUUCUUUUCAUUAGUUUUCCUUAAUUUAAAUUGGUUAAAUUUCAUUUUUGAUCUUAGUAGUUCAGGUCAAAUUUUACUCGAGUCUUUAUGAUUUUAGGGCAAAUUUGUGACUGUAGUUUACUUAACGACACGUCUACUAUUUUGUCAAUUUAGAUUGAUGGAAUUGGCACGUGACGUGCACAAGAUGGGGAUUUCCAUCUUUUUACCUUUUUAAAUAUAUUAAUUGGAAAUCACCUUAAAAUGUAAACACAUAAGUGUCACAGCCCGUCCCAGAAUUAUUAAUUCCGAGGACGUGAAAUGACCAAUACAACCUUAAACGGGAUUAAGGUGCAUAACUGUGACAUUAGUUUAACCUAAAGUUCUUAAACUAGUUUUAGGGUUUAAACUUAGACCAAGAAUUUCAGGAACAUGUUAAAGUUUGAAAGUGGGAUCCCCACAUCCCUCAAAACCCUCCCCAUUUCCCGUAUACUGUCAUUCACUCUCUCUCUCCCUCAGACCUCACUUUCUCUCUCCCUCUCCUUCGAACUCACACGGACCACCACAAAACCACCCUAAAUCUAUACCAACGUCAAGUUUGAGAUCACCAUUGGAAUCCUGGAACUUCCACGAUCACGAUGAUAUCCAUUUCAGGUAAGUUUUGCUUCGGAAAACCCUAGUUUCAGUGUCACCGUAAUAUUGCACUGUUCACGAACUUCAAAUUGGCUUUGUUUUAGGCCAAACUAAGAUCACAGUGAGCUUAAGGAAGUUCCAAGGAUGCUCGGAGUGUAACGUUUGGAAGUUUUUGACGUCGGGAUCGUUGAGUUCAACGUUUGGCCGAUUUUUGGAAUUUUUGGAAGGUAUGAUCCCGUGGUUUUUAGUGUUUAAAACCCUUCCAUCGUGAUUGUACAUGUUAAAUGCUUCAAUUUGGUAUAAAUUACAUGAAAAAUGGACGAAAAACGAAGGAGAAUAGUGGUUUUGAAAGAUUACCCAGUUUCCGGCGCCGGCGACGGUCGCCGGAGCUGAAGGUUGAAGGCGACGGAAUAUUCCGUCAAGGUUGACGGAAUAUUCUGACGCCGUUAGUCAGUUUUAACGGUUACCGUUAGAAGUUAACGGAAUAUUCCGAGGAAUAUUCCUGACGUCGUAAAGAUUUCCGUUAGGGUUACUGCGCGUGGGCCGCGCGUAGACCCGUGGCCUCGCCGGCGCGUGGAGGCGCGUGCAUGGUCCAAAAUUAUUUCUAAAAAUAUGUACGGGUUCGUGACGUCGUGUAGGUCACAGUGGUAUAUUCAUAUACCCAAUUUGAGCAAUAUAUGAGGAGUUAUUAGCUAAGAGUGGGAUUAUGCGUUAAAUAACGUUAAUUUGGUUACUUCUCGUAUAGGCGAGGAUUAUACGGACGUUGGGCAUGGCUAAGGGAGGCUCAGGGACCUUCGACACGUCGAUGUAUUCUGUGAGUGGGCAGUUUUGUUUUCCGUAUAUAUAUAUACUUGACGUCUCCCAGAAAUUGAAUUGAAAUGAAAAUAUGUUUAAAAUGAAAUGCAUAUGAGUUAUGUGGAAAAACGGAAAGUGAAAUACCAUGCAUAGAAUUGAUAUGAAAAGUAUAUAGAAAUGUGAGUUGAAAUGCCAUGCAUGAAUUAAUAUAUGAUGCAUAUGUAUGAAUUAGUGCGGUGGACGCACAGGUAAGAAUUAAUAUAUGAUGCAUAUGUAUGAAUUGGUGCGGUGGACGCACAGGUAAGAAUUAAUAUAUGAUGCAUAUGUAUGAAUUGGUGCGGUUGACGCACAGGUAAGAAUUGAUUUAUGAUGCAUAUGUAUGAAAUCGUGCGGUGGACGCACAGGUGAGUAUUUAUUUCUGUUAUGAUGAUGUUGAUGUAUAUUGAGCUCAAAUCCUGCACCAUAGUUUAGUGCUUAUAGUAUUCACCGCAUCGCACGCUCGUCUUGGAUCCAAGUAGAUGCUAGUCGUACAGUCCACGCGGAGUGGGUACGACAGGCCAGUCGCGAGAGUGUUAGUGAGAUUCCGACUGGUGGGUGACCUUAGAUUAUGUGCACAGAUGAUUUAUGAGAAGCACUAGAGCGUAACUUAUGUGCAGAAGGCCGUACAGGUCACGCUGAGUGACUCCGACAGAGUGUGAGAGUGAUAGAUUUUGAGCUCUAGGUUCAACCGGGCUAAUAGAGGGCCUCCGGUUGAUUACUUUAUUGCACCUGAUAUGAUUUAUGUUGAUGCAUUCAUACCUUAUUACUGUCGAGAUGAUGUGGCAUGGCAUAAUUAAUAUGAGAAAUGUUGAGAUGAUGUGGCAUGGCAUAAUUAUAAUGAAAAUGUUGAGUUAAUGACUUGAAGUCUUGAGAAUAUAUAUGUAUAUUUAUAUUUUACAUUUCUGGGAAAGUAUACAUGUUUUACGGAGAGGGGUUACAACGUUUUGAGAAAUGUUUGGAUUUGGAAAAGAAUUGUUUUACUGACCCACUCAAUUUUAGUUUUGCGCCCCUCCAGGUUCAGGAAUCACAAAGGUGUGGUGACUACGAGGAAUUUGACGGUGUUCUGACAGAUUGGACAAAAUUAGGACUCACCUUCGGGUGUAUCAACUUAUAAAUUGUAUCUUAAAGCUUCCGUACUGUGCAAAUGGUUACGUCACUCUCACGUGACGGCCAGCAUGCCCUCCUUCGGGACGGGGUGUGUCAGUUGGUAUCAGAGCAUGGUUGCAAUCUUGGACAUCUUGAGAAGUUUCUAGUGAAUUCUGUCAGAACUACACCGCCUCGUAGCCAACCACGUAGUUAGGGGAAGCUAUUAUUAUGGUGAUUCAGUAUAUUAUCGAAAUGGACAUUUUAAGACGGGUUAUGAGUUGAAUUUGAAUCACCUUAUGAAAUGAUGAACCCGAGGGAACGAAAUAACGGUUUAACCAUUUGGAAAAGAUGUUUCAGAUUAUGCAAGUCAAAGGAAUCUUCCUUCUGACAGGGGGUCGAGACGACUACCUGGUUUUGGUUAUGAAUUUGUAUCCUGGUGGAAACAGGAGUAUGAUUUGUUGUCACCGGAGGAACAGUCGAUUGAGAAUUGUUUAAGGACUUGUUUAAGGAAAAGUUUAUCCCUCCGGCAUUUAUCGAUGGUAGUAAACAAGAGUUUACAAAUAUGAGACAAGGAAGGUGAUGAUCGAGGGAUAUUAUAGAAAGUUUUCAGACUUGCCUCAUUCCAUCCAGAUAUUGUUGUUAAUUUGGUGGAGGUGUUAUGUUGUUUUAAGCUGGGUGGCAAAAAGGGAAGUGGUAUUUUGGGUGACCACUAUCCAUUGUACUUCUUACCAGGAAUAUACGAGAUGCUGUUGAGUCUUGAGGACUCUGAGAACAUGAGCAACGAGAAUAAAGAAGAAUAAGAAAUGAAUGGGAAUUAAAAGAAGACGAUAAAGUUAAUGAUUCGUCAUAUCAAGGAUAUAGAAAGAUUCAGAGCUUCGAAAGAAGUGAAGCUAGAGUUAAUUCUUCCAGCUGAGGUUUUAAUGUCGCUGGUCAGAGUAAAAGUGAUGGAUAUACUGGUAAUCCCAGAUAUUUGAGACAAGGUGUCUCGAGUAAAGGAAAUGUACCUUGUGCAGCAAGUACAAAAUUAACACUUUGGGAAGUGUGAAAUUAAUGAAUGUGUUUAUGUGAACAGAGGGGACACAGAAUUGUGAAUCGUCCCUAGAAUCAGUUGUACUCAACAAUUUUCCAUGAUAUCAUAGUGUCGAUUCAGCAGAGUUAUGGACUUAGUAGUUUGGUCGGAUUGACCGUGAGUACAGAGAGCUUUGAUGAGUUAUAUGUUCAGCCGUACAGACCAUGAGAAGUGGAUUCGACUGACACAUGAGAAAUUGGUGAGUUAUAGGCUCGGCCGUACCGACCACGCGGAGUGGAUCCGGCCGACGUAUUAUUGAGAUAAGAGUUGAAUCAGCCGUAUUGAUCAUUCUAGUUGACUUCGGCUGAUAUAUUUCUUAUUAUGUAUGUUAUAUCUUUGAGAGUGGUUGCCUACUUAUCGAGACAACGAUGAUUUAUCAGUAUUGCGGGCUGCAGACCGUAAUAUUAAUAACUCAUUCGUGGAUUCGUUAAGCAAGCAACCCGGUAGAUUAUUUUAUGUUAGUGUUGUACUUAUUUAGAAUGUUCAGUAAUAAUUAAGUAUGUAUUGGGUCAGUUAAUUUUAUUUCCAUUAGUUUGGUUGGUUAUAAUUGUGACUAGAUGGAUUAUUACGGGAAACCAGUCACUUUCCAUCGAUCUGGAUGAUCAGAGGUUACCUUAAUGAGUGGGCAUGCAAAGUGAAGUGAGUUCAGCCAUUAUUUAUGCUGUGAAAGCAAAGAUAUUGUUUUGAAAGGCUGCCCAAAAAUACUUAGUUCAUGUGGUGCUAAAUGAUGUUGUUUGGAGUAGUGUGAAUAAUGUCGAAAGGGUUAGACUUUUCUUGAUGUCUUCCCUGAAAGUAUACCUGGAUUGCCUUCAGGCAGAGAUAUGAGAUUCACUAUUGAUUUGUUGCCAGGUAUAAAUUUAUGUUAAAGAUUGGUUCAUGAUGAGUUAAGGGAAUUGGAAAUUCAGUUGAAAGAAUUGGUUGAUAAAAGUUUUAUUCAACCUAGUACAACACUUUUGAGGAGCACCAGUUUGUUGGUGAGAAAGAAAAUGGACUUAGAGAUUGUUCAUUGAUUAAAGACAAUGGAAUUGGUAACGAUCGAGAACCGUUAUCCAUGAUAGUGUACUGAUGUUUAGUUGAUAAGCUCAGAGAUGUUUGUAUAAUUUCAAAGAUUGAUUGAGGUCUGGUUAUUACCAAUUGAAGAUUUUGAGCGACAUUGAUCAAGAUGGUUUUCUGGAUUUGUUAUGAUCUUUUAUGAGCUUUGGUGAUGCUAUAAGAAAACUCACGCUGUUUUAGGAGUUUAUGGAUGAAGUAUUCCACGAAUGUCGUGAUAAAUUGUUAUCAUUUGUCAUUGACGAUAUUCUGGUACAUUCUGAGCCAGAGCAGAGCAUGUAAACGUAUUAAGUCGAUGAAGCAAAGAUUGAGAGAACGUUGGUUGUAUGCUAAGUUUAGCAAAGGCUAAAGUUAAAUGAAUCAAGUGGCAUUCUAAGAAUUGUUAUAUCUGCUUAAGGUAUUCAAGUGAAUCCUUAAAAGAUAGCAGAAAUUGAGAAUUUGGAACAACCACGAGCCGUAAUUGAGAUUUGGAAUUUCUUAACUUACCAGGCUAUCUUGAAUGGUUGUGAAAGAGUUUUUAGUCAUUGCUUUGUCAUUGACGAGACUGUUGAGAAAGGAGGUUAUGUAUGAGUGGGAAGGAAAUUGUGAGCAAAGGAUUCAACAACUGAAGUAUUUCCUCACUCAUGCACGUAUUUUGGUAUUCCCAGAGAAUAGUGGUAAUCAUAAAUUUUUAGUGAUGUUUCUUGAAUGGUAUUGGAGGCAUGUUGAUGCAAAUGUUAGGGUGAUUGCAUACGUUUCACGAUAAAUGGAACCUCAUGAGAUGAAUUACCCUACGGGUGACUUGGAAGUCAUGAUUACCAUUCUUGCUGUGAAGUUAUGAAGACAUUAUAUGUUGAUAAGAAUGCAAGAUUUUACAAAUCAAAAUAGUCUCCAAUAUUUGUUUACUCGGAAGGAUUUUGAUAUGAGGCAACAAAGGUGGAUUGAAUUACUUAGUGAUUAUGAUUGUACGAUCAGGGUGAUCGUGAAUUGUUGUAGCUGAUACACUUGGUGAAAAGAUUGCAGAAGAUUUAUGUCUGGCACGUUGCCAAGAGUAUCAUCUUGUGGAUUGAAAACCAACGGAAGAAAAGUUAAGAGUGAAAGAUCGAGAAGAAGUUAUACUUGUUAAUUUUCAAGUUAGGCCUGUUUGGUAAGGUCGUACUCGAAACUUAAAUGUUUGACGAGGAAAUUUAAGAAUUAACCAAGGCAGAGAAAGAAGGGAAAAAGAAUGAGUACAUGAUUCGUGAAUCAAAUGGUAUGUGGAUACAAGAAAACAAAAAGUAUGUGCCUAAUGCUAAGGAUUUAAAGUAAGCAAUUUUGGACGAAGUACAUUGUUUAGCUUCUGCAAUAUUCCGAAAGUAAUAAGAUUUAUCAUACCAUUCGACAAUUUUAUUUGGUCAGUAGAUUGAGGCAUAAAGAGAUAAGCCUUUGGAUUGAGAUAACUAUUUUCUGUUCGCAGUGGAAAUGGAAAGAAGAAUUGGUUUACGGAACUGCUGAGUUUCUUAAGUAUGUUGGUUGUGCAGUUUCCGAAGUAACGCCAUAAGGACCAUGAAAUGUGUCAGGUGAGUCGGUUUUGUUGACUUGUGAAUGGAAUGCUUCUGAAUAGAGAAAGAUUCGAUCAAGAAAGAGUUUUAGUAGAUCCUGAGACUAUGGAUGAGUCUCCUCAAAGUAUUCAGGUGAUUAAGUUAACCUGAAGUAACCAGGAAUGGCAAAAGAGAUCAACAGAUGGAUAUGCCACUAAUCGAGUGUGUAAGGUAAAUGGUUUGAUAUUUUUGGAAUUUCACCAUGAACAGAAAUAGUAAGAUUCAGAAAGGAAGACAAGAUAAGCCUUGAAAACAUCAGUCUGUUUUGAUCACUAAAGGAAUCGACGAAGUUGCAUACAAGUUUGUGAUGCCUUCAGAAUUGGCUAAGGCACAUAAUGUAUUUUGUGUUCGAUGCGUUGUCACUAAGUGGCAGAGUCGUUACAUGGGACUUUGGUGCAACUAUUGAGAAUUAAGCCGGAUCUGAUUGGUGAGGAACUAAUGUCGACUUUGGAUUGGAAAAAGAAGGUCCUGAGAAUUAAGGCAGAGUAAGUAGUAAAAGCUUUGUGAAGGAAAUCAUUUAGUAGAAAAUUAUGUGGGAGAAAGAGAAUCGGAUGAGAGAGAUUUACUCGAAGCUAUUGUUGGAGUAUGGUUGAUUUAGUUGGUUGCUGGAAUUUCGGGGACGAAAUUCUAUAAGGAGGGAAGAUUGUCACAGCCCGUCCCGGAAUUAUUAAUUCCGAGGACGUGAAAUGACCAAUACAACCUUAAACGGGAUUAAGGUGCAUAACUGUGACAUUAGUUUAACCUAAAGUUCUUAAACUAGUUUUAGGGUUUAAACUUAGACCAAGAAUUUCAGGAACAUGUUAAAGUUUGAAAGUGGGAUCCCCACAUCCCUCAAAACCCUCCCCAUUUCCCGUAUACUGUCAUUCACUCUCUCUCUCCCUCAGACCUCACUUUCUCUCUCCCUCUCCUUCGAACUCACACGGACCACCACAAAACCACCCUAAAUCUAUACCAACGUCAAGUUUGAGAUCACCAUUGGAAUCCUGGAACUUCCACGAUCACGAUGAUAUCCAUUUCAGGUAAGUUUUGCUUCGGAAAACCCUAGUUUCGGUGUCACCGUAAUAUUGCACUGUUCACGAACUUCAAAUUGGCUUUGUUUUAGGCCAAACUAAGAUCACAGUGAGCUUAAGGAAGUUCCAAGGAUGCUCGGAGUGUAACGUUUGGAAGUUUUUGACGUCGGGAUCGUUGAGUUCAACGUUUGGCCGAUUUUUGGAAUUUUUGGAAGGUAUGAUCCCGUGGUUUUUAGUGUUUAAAACCCUUCCAUCGUGAUUGUACAUGUUAAAUGCUUCAAUUUGGUAUAAAUUACAUGAAAAAUGGACGAAAAACGAAGGAGAAUAGUGGUUUUGAAAGAUUACCCAGUUUCCGGCGCCGGCGACGGUCGCCGGAGCUGAAGGUUGAAGGUGACGGAAUAUUCCGUCAAGGUUGACGGAAUAUUCUGACGCCGUUAGUCAGUUUUAACGGUUACCGUUAGAAGUUAACGGAAUAUUCUGAGGAAUAUUCCUGACGUCGUAAAGAUUUCCGUUAGGGUUACUGCGCGUGGGCCGCGCGUAGACCCGUGGCCUCGCCGGCGCGUGGAGGCGCGUGCAUGGUCCAAAAUUAUUUCUAAAAAUAUGUACGGGUUCGUGACGUCGUGUAGGUCACAGUGGUAUAUUCAUAUACCCAAUUUGAGCAAUAUAUGAGGAGUUAUUAGCUAAGAGUGGGAUUAUGCGUUAAAUAACGUUAAUUUGGUUACUUCUCGUAUAGGCGAGGAUUAUACGGACGUUGGGCAUGGCUAAGGGAGGCUCAGGGACCUUCGACACGUCGAUGUAUUCUGUGAGUGGGCAGUUUUGUUUUCCGUAUAUAUAUAUACUUGACGUCUCCCAGAAAUUGAAUUGAAAUGAAAAUAUGUUUAAAAUGAAAUGCAUAUGAGUUAUGUGGAAAAACGGAAAGUGAAAUACCAUGCAUAGAAUUGAUAUGAAAAGUAUAUAGAAAUGUGAGUUGAAAUGCCAUGCAUGAAUUAAUAUAUGAUGCAUAUGUAUGAAUUGGUGCGGUGGACGCACAGGUAAGAAUUAAUAUAUGAUGCAUAUGUAUGAAUUGGUGCGGUGGACGCACAGGUAAGAAUUGAUUUAUGAUGCAUAUGUAUGAAAUUGUGCGGUGGACGCACAGGUGAGUAUUUAUUUCUGUUAUGAUGAUGUUGAUGUAUAUUGAGCUCAAAUCCUGCACCAUAGUUUAGUGCUUAUAGUAUUCACCGCAUCGCACGCUCGUCUUGGAUCCAAGUAAAUGCUAGUCGUACAGUCCACGCGGAGUGGGUACGACAGGCCAGUCGCGAGAGUGUUAGUGAGAUUCCGACUGGUGGGUGACCUUAGAUUAUGUGCACAGAUGAUUUAUGAGAAGCACUAGAGCGUAACUUAUGUGCAGAAGGCCGUACAGGUCACGCGGAGUGACUCCGGCAGAGUGUGAGAGUGAUAGAUUUUGAGCUCUAGGUUCAACCGGGCUAAUAGAGGGCCUCCGGUUGAUUACUUUAUUGCACCUGAUAUGAUUUAUGUUGAUGCAUUCAUACCUUAUUACUGUCGAGAUGAUGUGGCAUGGCAUAAUUAAUAUGAGAAAUGUUGAGAUGAUGUGGCAUGGCAUAAUUAUGAUGAAAAUGUUGAGUUAAUGACUUGAAGUCUUGAGAAUAUAUAUGUAUAUUUAUAUUUUACAUUUCUGGGAAAGUAUACAUGUUUUACGGAGAGGGGUUACAACGUUUUGAGAAAUGUUUGGAUUUUGAAAAGAAUUGUUUUACUGACCCACUCAAUUUUGGUUUUGCGCCCCUCCAGGUUCAGGAAUCACAAAGGUGUGGUGACUACGAGGAAUUUGACGGUGUUCUGACAGAUUGGACAAAAUUAGGACUCACCUUCGGGUGUAUCAACUUAUAAAUUGUAUCUUAAAGCUUCUGUACUGUGCAAAUGGUUACGUCACUCUCACGUGACGGCCAGCAUGCCCUCCUUCGGGACGGGGUGUGUCAAUAAGCCUAAUCCACACAAAGAUCAUAAAUAUGGAGAAGAUCAAACUCAUUUUUCAGACUACUUUCCCCCCAUUAACGUGUUGGACUGUGAUUAGGAUUUACUUGUUUUAUGGUUGGGCAAAGUGGUCAAAUCAUGAAAUGAGGCAGGUACAAAUAUACAAUUUGUAUUUAAGAGUGUAGUACUCGAAGCAGAAUAAAACAUAAAGUAUUAGUGAGCUUUAGUUGAAUUUCUCAAAUAUGGAAGCUUAUUUGAGGAACAAUCUUGUAGAUUAUUUUAGUUGUAUUUUAACAUUCUAAACUAUCUAUCUUUAAGUCUUUCAUUAAAUAUAUUUUCCACAACAGAUAUCUCAAAUCGGAAACUAUAUGAGGGUUAAAUAUUAGUCAUUUUAGGGUUUCUUGGAAGCAUUAUAUUCAACAAUUUUCUACACUGCAAUUGAAUGUCUAAAUGGCUUCAUAUUUAUCUAACAUUUUUUAAAGAUGAUAAGUUAAAUAUAAAAUAGCUCAGAUCUUAAAAAGAUAAAUAAUGAAUCCCAUUAAGUGUCCUUCAAAUAAGACUAUUUAAAGGUUCUGAUAAUAGAAUAGAACUAUAUAAAAGUAUAUGUAUGUAAGGGCCUAAUUAAUAUAAGAUAUAAGUUUGGCACAAACAAAUUCCUUGUGGUUGUGAUUAGAGAGAAACCUGAUCAACUCAUUUUUUUUUAAUCAAACCUGAUCAACUCAUUUUAUUCUCCUUAUCUUAUGAUUAAUUAUGAUUAUAAUCUUCUUUGCUAUGUUGCAUUAGUUAUAACUUCCAUCAAACACCUAGACUUUGAGUAGAGUAGUACUAAACUAAAUCAUCACUAUUGCUAGUCCCACGAAUUACUCAACCAGAAAGGGAGUUUAGAGAGAGAGAGAUCUGAUUUGGCAGAUUGCUUUUGGCACCGUUAAAGCUUUGAUUAGGGUUUUGGCUGGUGUGUUGUCAAAUACCGUAUUGCUGCACUGGGUCAUCUUUCGUGACGUUGGGAUGUAAUCAAAAUAAUUUGUUAGUAGUUGCAUGCAAUACGUAUCUCCAUUGAAUAUUUUCUUCUGUUUUUUCAUUUUCUCAAAAAAAAUAAUUAAUGUAUUGUGAAGAUGAUAUAUGUUUUUUUUUCCUUUUUGGUAUAGGUAAAAAUGAUACAAUUCCUACCUAAUAUUUUUGUUUUACCAUGAGUCGUAUCUGAUACUCUUAAAUUUUCCUAGCAUUGCGAGCCAACUCCUAAAAAAACUUGUUUAGUUUAUGACUUAAUUUGCAUCCGAACACUUUGAGUAAUUACUUAAUUAGCAAGCUAUCUAUAGUUUUAUUCAUUUUUUUGUAUAUAAAAAAACAAACUUAUUCAUUUCACCUUCUUCUCAUCUUUAUACUUUUUUUUUUCAGUCCUAACUAAUCGUAUCUUGAAACUAUCUUAUAAGAAGUUUUAAACCUUGAUUAAGCUAAGAGAACUUAAAAUCAAGUUUUAAUCAAAUGUUGACUUCUAAACUAGCUACUGCAUCACUACCUACAUAAGUCGUCUCUUUAAUCAUCUCAAACACGCAUCUUAUGCCAAUCACCAAACAGAUAAUUAAAUACAUGAACUCGGAUCAGAAGGAUGCAAAAUAAAGGUCAUCCUUUUUUGCUGAUUUUAUCUUUUUCUCAUGCCCAUUUGUUUGGUGUGGAACCUGCAAAAAUAGGUUAAAGUUCAAAACAGAAACCAUACAGAGUCUGAGUCUGAGUAAAUUAUAUAUAUAUUAUCUCGAAGCAGGACCUCCACUAACAUCGCCUCUGCGGCUUGGAUUGAAUUAUGCCAUCCUCCUACUGGAAUGCAUGCUUUGCUUUCCUCCACCAUCCAAUGGCAACAGCACCAAAUUAAAGGCUGCAUGCAUUUGCCUCCCCCCCCCCCCCUCUCUUGCAUUACUUACCUCAGCCAACUGGCCACAUAAAUCUUUCCGCGCCAAGAAUCGUUGCCCUACUAUUCUUGAUCUUUAAAAUAUAGUUACGUCAUAACUAGUGCGGGCUGGAUUAUUCUAGCAGUGUUGGCGAAAUUAGUUGAUCAGGUUUGAAUUAUGCCAUCCUCCAACUGGACAGAUCAAGAAUGCAUGCUUUGCUUUCCUCCACCAUCCAAUCGCAACAGCACCAAAUUAAUGGCUGCAUGCAUUUGCCCCCCUUGCAUUACGUACCUCGGCCAACUGGCCACAUAAAUCUUUCCGUGCCAAGAGUCGUUGCCCUACUAUUCUUGAUCUUUAAAAUAUAGUUACGUCAUAACUAGUGGCGGCUGGAUUAUUCUAGCAGUGUUGGCGAAAUUAGCUAGAUUUAAGUAAUUAAUUUGGACUAUAAUUAAGAUUUGUCAAGUAAAAUAAAAGGUGCACACAGAAAAAGAGCUAGUUUUUGUAUUAAUACAUAUAUAGAUAAAAACCCCAUUUUGUAAGAAAAUGAUAAAAAAUGUGUGGGAGAUCAGGGAGGUUGGAGUUAUUUGCAAGCAAAACUCUUGUUGAUGCACAAAAUCGGAGGUCUUGGAACAACGUAAAUCCGACCGUGAAUCUGCAAGAAAGUAAAUAACACAAGAUGUAUCGCGGUUCACCCUAAUGUUUGGGCUACGUCCACACUGAUAUUGUAUUUAUCUGUUUGUGAGAGGAUUGAGAGGGAGAGAGAGCUUCCUUAUGUGAGGAUGAGCUUCUCUGAAUAUGAGAGGGGAUGUGAGGCUUUGAGAGGGUGAGGGUCAGGCCUAAGGAUUGGCCUCUCUCAAUGAGGAGAGUGAGGAGUCCUUUUAUAAAAUAAGGGCUCCUCAUUUAUUACAUAUUUGCCUAUUCUUUUAUUACAUAAUUACAUUUGAGUCCCCCGAGUAUUUAUACGAGAUCUAAUACGGAGGCCCUAAGUAUGGUACAAACAGUAGUUCCCCAAGCCUUCAGUCAAGAGAGUCUUUUGGCUGGAGACUUGAAAUUCAGUCCAUGUGUGGGCCGAAGUAACUAGAUGUCGUCUAGAACUGAUGCUCGAUAUGAGGCGAUGCCCAAUCUGAAAUGAUGCUCAACUAGAAGUAGCACAUGUUGUGAGGCUGCUCUGCUUGUGUUGCCUUGGUCGGCUCGGCUUGUGGCAUUGAAGGUGAGGGAGUCCCUUUUAUAGAAUAAGGGCUCGCUCCUCAUUACAUAAGUGAUGGGCUAAGAGUUGAUGCUCGCGGCGAGGCGGUUGCUCAGCAGGCGGAGAUACUCUUUACUGAUGGUAAGGGAGUCUCUUUUAUAAACUAAAGACUCGCUCCUCAAUACAUAAGUGAUGGGUUAGGAGUGAUGCUCGCGGCGAUGCUCUCUAAUGAAGGUGAGGCAAUCCUUUUUAUAAAAUAAGGGCUCGCUCCUCAGUACAUAAAUAAUGGGUGCUCUCUAAUGAAGGUGAGAGAGUCUCUUUUAUAAAAUAAGGGCUCGCUCCUUAGUACAUAAAUAAUGGGCUAAAUCCCCCAAGUAUUUUUCAUGAGGCCCAAUAUAUGGUACAUAAUGUAGUCCCCCAAGUCUUCGGUCAAUAGAGUCUGUUAGCUGGAGACUUCAAAUUCAAUCCAUGUAAGGGCCGAAGUGGCGGUUGUUUGGAGGUGGUAUUUGUAUACCUUGCACUGAAGCUUUGCAAGUAAAGCUUUUGAAGCUGGAGCUCUGUAAAUGAAGCUUUUGAAGCUAGAGCUCUGUAAAUGAAGCUUUUGAAGCUAGAGCUUUUGUAAAUGAAGCUUUUGAAGCUGAUUGACAUGAGUGAUGCUCAUGAAUGUUUAUGUUGAUUGAUAUGAGUGAUGCUCAUGGAUGUUGACAUGAGUGAUGCUCAUGGAUGUUGACAUGAGUGAUGCUCAUGAAUGUUGACAUGAGUGAUGCUCAUGAAUGUUUAUGUAUGAUUGAUAUGAGUAAUGCUCAUGAAUGUUUAUGUAUGAUUGACAUGAGUAAUGCUCAUGUAUAAUUUGAAGUACUGGGCGUACUUUUGAUCACCUGGUUGGUGAUAAUAACGGCAGGUUGUCCAAUAAUUUUGGAGUACUGGGCGUACUUUUGAUUACCUGGUUGGUGAUAAUAGAGGGCCUGAAUUUUUUAGGCAUACGGGCCUUCACCCUCCACAUGACAUUGCAGCCCAUUAUUUUGGGCUUGCCGUUUUUUUUUUUAUUAUUUUUUUUAUUUUUAUUACCCUCUGAUGGGGUUUAUACAGAUGUCUCCGAAAGAUAAGAAAAAUAAAUUACAUCAUUCAAAAAUAAAAAGCUGCUGUAGAAUGUGGGUAUAGCAGAUGGUUGGGUAGUGGGAUAACAUGUGCUUGCGGGGGGCAGGGCCUGCUUAAUGGGUCACGCUCAUAAUUAUGUCAUCACCUCGUCUGCUUUUUCUUUUUCUUUUCUUUUUUUUUUAAUUUUUUAUUUUUUUUUUAGCUUUCUGCCAUUGUCUUAGUGGGUAGCCAUGCUUUUCCACUUUUGCUUUUGUUUUUUUGCUUUGCUUUUGCUUUUGCUUUCUCUUUUCUUUUGCUUUCGGCCUGGUUGGUGUUGGGACCUUGUAGUGGGAUGACAAACAGCUUGGCAUCAUUAUGUAUGAAUUCCUUUAUCAUCGUGGUGCCGGACCACUUUCCAGCUGUUUAAAGGAACCUGCUUUACCUUCACUGCUUUUUAACCAUCAUUCCUCCAUCUAUACCCAUUUGAAGCAAUCAUCACUCCCCUGGAGCCGAUACUCGACCGAACGAGUCAUUCUGAGAGGCAGCAGAAUGUUGACGUCUACAACGUGUGGACCGAAGCCUAAAUGCGACGUCGUUUGGCCCACCACCAGAAGAAGAAACAAACCGAGCAAAAUAGUGAAGCUCACCAGAGAGAUCGCCGAAGUCGGAGCUUGAGCAACGGAGCUUGUAUUUGAGGUGAGUGAUCAUGGAUCGUAGAAAAAUGGAGAAUCGAAGGGUUAGCGAAGUGGACUAUCCUCCUUCCCAAUUUGCUUCCCAUGGUGAAUGAUUUUCUCGGCUUUUCUGGCGAAUUUUCAAAAUUAAUUUGUAACUAAAUGAGAAAUUUAACCAGCAGAAAACCUGAGGAAGGUUGCCUUUCCAGUACCCAGAAAACCUGUAUAAGAAUCUUGAUGCGGUCAAGCGGAGCCGUGACGCUCUCAGCGGUGGCUCCAGCAACGGCUCCGACAGCAAAUAGCGCACCGUUUUUUGGCACGCAUGCGAGAGUAGCCAAAUGAUGCUUCAACAGCUGAGCCGAGGUCGGCAAAAACUCGUUCCUUUGUUCUCCCUUUUCGCCAUUGAAACGCAGGCGAAAUUGUACCGAAUUCCACGGUCACUGCUGAAGCUGAGCUACGCAGUCGUCCACAGCGGUUCGUGGUGGUCCGCGGCGUUGGUAAGGGCGCAGCGGGAGGCGUUGAGGCUUGGGAUGCUCCACCAUGAUACAAUGGCUCUGGGAUUUCCGGCUAUGGCUGGGGAAUUUUGAAGAAGGGAGGUGGAAAAGUGAAGGGAUAAGGCGAGGGAGGCAGUUGCAGAGAGAGUUCUCCUGAAUAAUCACCAUCUCCGAUCUUUGAUGCCAGUGAACAUUUUUUGAGAUGAUGAAGUCGUGGGAUUGUGAGAUUAUCCCAAAUUUCUCUCGAAUUUGAAUUUAUGCCAUCGAAGUCAUCACACCACUACUGAUUUUGACAAGGCCCAUGUCGGCGGGGUCUUAAUAAUCACAACUGCAGGCCUAAUGGCUACCAAAGCCACGACCUUCGAGCCCAGUCUUCGGUGUAGCCCACACUAGGCUCUUGCGGCCUUCCCGCCUCGAUGACGUUGUCCUCUACCCGUGAAAAAUUGGGUUUUCAUGAAAUGCGGAUUUGGGUCAGGCCCUCUGCGAGUUCGGCUGGAAACGCUCCGAUGUCGUCCUCUCCUCCUUCAUAAGUCACAUGGACGUGUGCUCAGUUUUAGCUGGACUGUUAAGGAAGAUAAACUGGUUGGCGGCUUUGUGGCGUCUCCUGUGCAUCUGCAUAUUCUGGUCUCUCUGAAAUCCCUGGUUGCAGGUAGAGUAGGAUCUCAGGUUGUGCAGAUUCACGGUGGAGUGUGGUGAGGUCUUCAUGGUGGUGAGAUGAAAAAAUGAAAGAGAACCGACAUAGUUUUUUGUGUCGAUUCCCACAGAUAGCUCCAAAUGUUGAUGCAUAAAACCGGAGGUCUUGGAACAACGUAAAUCCGACCGUGAAUCUGCAAGAAAGUAAAUAACACAAGAUGUAUCGUGGUUCACCCCAAUGUUUGGGCUACGUCCACACUGAUAUUGUAUUUCUCUGUUUGUGAGAGGAUUGAGAGGGGGAUAGAGCUUCCUUAUGUGAGGAUUAGCUUCUCUGAAUAUGAGAGGGGAUGUGAGGCUUUGAGAGGGUGAAGGUCAGGCCUAAGGAUUGGCCUCUCUCAAUGAGGAGAGUGAGGAGUCCUUUUAUAAAAUAAGGGCUCCUCACUUAUUACAUAUUUGCCGCUUCCUUUAUUACAUAAUUACAUUUGAGUCUCCCAAGUAUUUAUGCGAGAUCUAAAUACAGAGGCCCUAAGUAUGGUACAAACAACUCUGAUACUAUAUUAAAUGCUCAUUAUAUUCCAGAAGUUAAGUUGUUAGAAAAUGUAUCACUAAUACAUAUCAAAUUAUCAUAAACAAUUUUUUUUUAUCAUUUAUGCUAGUUUCAAUACAUCUACAUCUCUAUAAAAGUGAAAUUCAUGUGAAAGACAUUUAGAAAAGUGGGUUUAUAUCUUUUUUGGUAAGUUAUGUAGUAAGUAAAUGCACCUAUCUCACUCACCAUAAAAAAUUGAGUAAAAUAAAUUUAACACCACUAGUGCAUAUGGUUUGCUUAAUUAGCCUGUCAAUGUCUAGGCAUGGUGUACACUACCCACCAAAAUAUCAUGAAGACUUUAUGAGGGACACAUUGUUUGGAUUAUAUAUUUCAAAUUGCAAAGACAGUUAGUUCAGUGACAACCAAGAUAACAAAACCUAAAAUUGCAAAGACUUUAUGAGGGACACAUUGUUUGGAUUAAUGAGCAAGGCGAUUGUACCACACCACUCUCAUUGAAACAAUAUAGCGUAGGAUGGGCGAUUAUACUGCACCACUUAAGUAGUAGGAAAAUUUAAAUAUGUAGAGCAAGGUGGGCGAUUACACUGCACCACCUAAAAUUGCAGUAAAAUUAAAUAUGCAGUUCAAGAUGGGCGAUUGUACCGCACCAUCUUUGAUCGUAGUAAAAUUAAAAUAAAUAAACAUUGGGUUAGUAAUCAAGAGCUACACCAAAUAAGAAAUCAAAAUUAUAAGUAACUGUUAUAUUGAAAACUAGAAGCAGGCACAGUGCUAGCAGAUCUUGGCAAGGGUACAUCAAGCAAGUGAGGCAGAGGAGGAAGAAGAACAAUAAGAUCCUUGGAGGAAGCAUUUUUUGACAAAGGGAAAUAAGAACUAGUUAAGGUUAAAGAGUCAUGCUGAUAACGUGUUAUAAAUAGGCAAAAGUUAAAGAGAUAACCUUUGCUAGGGAUAAGAGUGAAUAGGGUGCAAUGUAUCACAUUGUUUAGUUUCGUAACUAUUAUACAAAAAGAUUGCAGGUAAAGAGAGGAAGGAGGGAUAUUCAUAUUAUUGCUUUCACUUCUUUUCUUUUGUUGUGUAUUGUGAUCACACACAAAGUGCUCUUUAUAUAAAGCCACAUCCGUGAAGAACCAAAAAAAGGAAACGAUUUCCUUUUUCAAAAACAUCAUACAACAACAAUUACACUACUAUUCUCAAGUCUUCCUCACUUUUAGCUAAAGCAUGUGGACAUUCAUUCCCAUAACUUUUACAAUAGUGGUGUCAAUUUGGCAUCGGGGCCACCAUAUUUUAUAUCAAGGUCACUCACUAAGAAAUAAUUAAAGCAAUGAAAAAUAGUAACACCCAUUGCAAGGUCUUCUACGACCCCUAAGGGUGCGUUUUUGCACCGGACUAUCUCGGACUGGACUAGCUUCAGCGACUAAGCUGGAUUGGCUUGGCAUAGACUAAACAAUACUAGAAUUGUGAAACGUUUGGUGCAGUGUCGGAUUAGAUAAGACUAUUUUUUAUUUUUAAUUGGGAAAACUUUCCAUUUUUUUGUCUAACAAACUAAAAUGCACUCGAUAAAUAAAAACAAUAUUACGCAGUAUACCAAGGAAUCAAAAACUUGAAUUUUCAAUCUUUCCCAUCAACUUUUCUUAGCAAACAAUUAGAUUAACACAAAAAAUAUACAAAUUAAACAAUCAGAGAACCAACCAAAAUGAAAGUAAUACUGAAGAGAAAAAAAAACAUUGGGAAGUGAUGACUUGAGAAAAUCUUCAACCAUUUUUGGAGGCUUGCAUUCUGCAAAUCAAAAAAAUAAUCUGAAAUCAUGAUCCUCAAAUUCAAGACCCCAAUCUUGAAAUUCUUCUCAUCUUCAACGCUAACACACGAAAUGGGUUUCUCAAAAAAUAAUUUUAUGAGCAGAAAACGGCUUCUGCCAUGUUCUUUGCCUGCACAGACCCAGUAGACAAAAUCCUGCAUCUCGAGAUCCUUCUCAUCUUCAACGCAAACCUACGAAAUGGGUUUCUUAGAAAAUGAGUUUCCAAGCAGAAAAGAGCUUCUGCUGAUGUUCUUCGCCUGUACAGACCACAGAUCUAUAGGACCUCGCACGAAGAGGAGUUUUCCAAGAAGAAGAAAACAGAAGCGAAGUGGGGAAGGGCGAAGAAGAUCUGGUCUUAGUAGUUUGCCCGAUUUUAAGGGGCUUCCCUAAGACGGCAUAGUGAAGCGUUUAGUUUAGGCGAGUCUCGCCUAGUCUCAUUUAAGUUAGUUCUUGCAACAAACAAUCAAGGGACUAUCCUAAUGUUUAGUUCAGUCUAGUCUAGUUAAUGUUAGUAAGUGUAAACAAACGCACCUUAAUUGUUCUAAGGUGUGUCACGACCUUGGUCAUGACAACACGAGCUAUAGUGGCUUGCGUUGUGUGGUUUACGCUAUCAUGGCCUGCAAUGUAGGGCCUUUUGCAACAAGUCACACUGUUGUCGUAGGUUGGGUUGCGUGUCCUGCUGCAAGUGCAGCUUGUUCGUGUGUUGUUGGAUGGCAAAGUCGGACUCUAAUAGCACUACGUAGGGCGUGUCUAAAGUUAUUAUGUAGCCCUCAUAGUGUUCUUAGAAAAACGCAUGUUGUGAGUCUUGCUCGUGAUUGUCUACAAGAAAAAGAAAAAGAAAUAAAAAACAGUCGUUAAAUAAGAACUUAAUCAACUAACUUUCUUCACUCACGCGUUGAAUAUUUUUAAGAAUUCUCAGAGCAUCAAUUUGGGGAUGCAAAAUUAUGCAAAUUUAUGUCCAAGCAGAUUGACCAGAAAACCUAGUACAAAUAUAACCCAUAAACCAAUUGACUAAUAUCAAUAUGAUGUUUGUCAAAGGGCCUCCAAUGCCUAAGUUAGAAGACGUUUUAGAAAAAAUGGCGCGACUAUUACUAAAGGAGAAGUCUAACAACAUAUGUUAUGUAGGCCGACGUGUGGAUAAUAUCUCCUCUACAAGUGCAAGAAUAUUCACUUUGGUGGAUGACUAGCAGGAGACAUAUGAAUGUUUUACUAUAUUUUGAACACUAAAUGAAGGAGGUAGUCUUUAGCAUGGAGUUAUGUAAGAAAGUGUGAGGCCUUAGGGACACUCUAAGGAGCGUUCCCCUACUUGUUAGGGUGUUUUUUUUCGGGCUGAGCUACGACGAAGUAGUUGACCUUUUCUCUCAGGAGAGGAGUGAUCCCUACUUAAAUGUCAAGUUAUUCUCUUAAAGUGUUUGGCAACUUUUUUUAUUUUUUAUUUUGGACAUAAAGUUAGAAUUCAUUAAACUUAAAGCAAAUUACAAAGCCAACAAUAGCCUAAGACAAAAAGUGGGAGACCCAAUCCCACAAUGACAAAGGCCUGAUACUUAAAACAGAUGACAAAGAAAAAAACAACCUAAAUCAACCCUGGAAAAGCAGCCCGCCUCAGCCAAACUCUCGCUAGCAACCAUCGAAGUGACAACCAAGUAGGAAACAUAGUGAAGGAGGAUCCGCAGAGAGUCAAGCACAACUAAAGUAACCCAAAAAAAAAAGAAAGAAAAUUCACAACAAAAAUCAAAUCUUAGAGCGCUGCAACAGACCAAACUAUCUAAAUCUGUCCGCCAACCACAACACCUAUAAAAUGAGAACCAAAUUGACAUAACACGGGGGUGGGGAGGGCCAAGGGGAUGUGUAAAAUUCCUUUAAUACGACGGAAGUCGUAGAACACUUAGCCCAAAAUUUCCAGCAUGCUGGUAAAGCAAAGGUAGUAAAGUAAAGAUUUACAUCCCAAAUCAAGUCCAAAACUCGAAGAUCUGAUUUUUAGUAAGGAUAAAAGGAGGUGAAGGAGAGGUCGCAGAUAGAGGUGUCGGUAAGGGAAAAAGGGAUAGAUGGAUGUGAGAGAAAAGGGUUGCAGAAAUAGAAUUAGUUAGUGAAACAAGGGCAAAAAGGAGGAGGAGAAGAAAAGUAAGGUAGCAAAAUGGGAAACUCAUAGCUAAAACCGGUGAAAAAAUGCAUGGGAAAUAGCAAAGAAAAAUGAGCAAUGUAGGACACAAACAAAAGACUAAAGAGAAGAAGAAAACAAGCAAGAAGACCAAGGGGGCUUGCCGACCCUAACCAAAGGAAGAAGUCGGCGUCAAAAGCAAGGGAAAUUAGGGGUUCUGUAAAAGAGAGAAAAAAGGGAGCAGUUAGGGUUUUUUUAAGUGUUUGACAAUUGAUCUAGCCUUUAUGGGAUGAUUGUUAAGGGCUUUUGCCCAUUUGGGUUGAGAUUGUAGUUUUGUUUCAUGCCGUUAAAGUUAACUUUAUCAUUCUCAUACUACAAUUCACCUGACAUGCUUUGAUUAAGUGUGACUAGUUUAUGUUUCCAUAAUAAAGACAUAGCAGCAAAUCUUUUGCGGGUAUCUAAACUAAAAAUUUGACCAAAUAAAGUGUAGCUCAAUUGGUUAAGAAUUGUGACGUGUUCACCAGAAGCUCAAAAUUCGAUUUCACUAUCCCAAAAUUAAAAAUAAUAAAUAAAACAAUCGACUCCGAAAUGGUAUUUAAUAUGAAUUUUUUUUUUUAAAUAACAAUAAAAAGUAUGGUUACCACUUUUAGAGCUGAAAACAGAGCGCUGUUAAACCCAGAAUGUUCAUAAAAAUGUUGAACAGAAGGAACCAAAGUCCCAGAUAAAACACCAAGGCUCCUGAGUGGCAACUCCUCACUCUCACUUUAUCAUCUCAACCACUCCCAACCACCAACCAAUCCAAAGCUAACAAUGCAAGCAGCUUUGGCGAUCAUGGCAGCUCAGACUGAUGCUUUCAUCCCCCACUCUCUUCUCCCAACUCCAAAACCCUAACCUUUACUCAAUUCCUCAUUCCUUCUUCCAUGGCAUCUCCCUCAAGCUCCCACUCAAAUCCCAAUCCAUGUCCUUCGCCGCCUCCGCCACCACCCCUAAGCCUCUUACAGUCUUCGUCGCAACCAAGAAAGUCGUCACCAGUGGCGAAGCCAUGGAAGGAUGAAGAGUGGCGACCGCCCCUCCCCUCACCGGAAAACACAACUGCAGCCGAGGUUUCGCCCAUCCCCUCACCGGAAAACCCAGCCCCUCUAUGUCUAUUUUGGCACCGGAACUGGUUCUGCUGCGUGCAGCAGCAGACUGGGUUCUUUUUUUUCUUUUUAAAUCUAGGCCAAAACGACAUCGUCGUUUUGGUCCUGGUAAAAAAAAAUUAAUAAAAAAUUUAAAGUCUGGCCCGCGUGUCCCAAAGUCAGGCCCUCCAUGUCCUAUCUCUAUUUCAAAUUAGUUAGGCCCCUCCACAUGAAACUUUCAAUGUUUGAAAAAAACCAAAAAAAUAAAUAUAUGUAUUGGGGGGACCGCGUGGCGUGUCCCCCAUUCCUUCAUUCAGUCAGCCCGCGUGUCAUGCUUUACCAUUCCAAAUUUCUCCCUUCGCCAAUCAGAGAUAGAGAGAGUGCAAAGCUGCUCCUAAAAUCCCAGCAACGCCCAACCCCAAUGGAAUGGAAAAUAAAUCCCUAUUGGCUGAUUUAUGUUGCCUUUUUGCUGCUAACACUAGCCACUCCAGCUACUAAGCCAACUUCUAGCCUUCAAUUUCAAAGGUAAAUUUUUUAAUUCCUAAUUUAUAAUCCCUAACCCUAAUUAAUUAUUUAAUAUGAAUUUUGUUUAAUUAGUAUAGAAUCAUAUGGUAAUGCACUAAUAUGGUUAUUGGUUAUUGAUUAUUGAUAUGAUUCUAUGAUUAUUGAUUGAUAUGAAAUUAUGAAAUUAUUUUUUAGGGUGAAAAUUAAAAUUUGAAUUUUUGAUUAGUUGUAUUCAUAUGAUUAGUUGAAUGAAUUUUUUAUUUAUUGAAUAAUUUAUAUGCUUAUUGGUAUUGAUUAAUUGAAUUGUUGGUUGGGUUAUUAUGCAUAUUAGUAUAGUCUACUCUAGGAUUAAGAGUCUAAGAAUUUUUUUUCUUUCCAUUUUACAGUUACUUAAUGGAACGAUACUAUAAGAAACAAUGCUUAAAUCCUCAUUCAAACAUUUCGGGUAGUCCUUCUCCUUCAAAUAUUCCAAGUAGUCAUCCUCCUCCUCCUUCAAAUAUUCCAAGAACUCCUCUUUCGAAUAUUCCGAGUAGUUCACAACAAAGUGAGCCCACUGAGUUGGAUGAAAUAAUGGCUAAUCUUCAUGCAAACCCUGGAUAUAGACAUCGAAUGCUUGAUUAUCUACCUAAUUAUCGUGAAGCAAUUCGUAGACACUAUCUCCAAAAUGAUCCUUGUCAACCUAGAGACCACAUUAUGCCAAGAAAAGUUAGCAACAAAAGAUGUUUUAUCACCGGUUGGUUUGAUAGGUUUAAGUGGUUAGAGUAUAGUAUAUCAAAAGAUGCUGCAUUUUGUCGUUAUUGCUAUCUUUUCAAAUGUGAUUUCGAUCAAAUGGGUAGCACUAGAAGUGAUGUCUUCACUGAGAAAGGGUUUACAAAUUAGAGGAAAGGACCCGAAAAUUUUCGAGCCCAUGAGGGAGGUGUUGGAAGUCUUCAUAAUAAAGCUGUACAACAAGCUAAAGAUUUGAUGACACAAAAACAACACAUUGAAACAUUUGUGAUUAAGCAAACCGAUGAAGCUCGCAAUAAUUAUCAUACUUUAUUGAGUGCCUCACUUGAGUGCACAAGAUGGUUGUUGGGACAAGGUUUGCCUUUUCGUGGUCACGAUGAAUCGUUGAAAUCAAACAAUAGAGGUAAUUAUUUGGAGCUUAUGCAAUUUUUUUCCAAGCAUAAUGAGCAAGUUAGGAAGGUUGUGUUUGAGAAUGCUCCCAAGAAUCUUAAAUAUACUUCUUCUGAUAUUCAAAAAGAUCUUGUUCGUGCUUGUGCCAUUGAAACUAUAAAUGCAAUCACUAAAGAUAUGGAAGGUGAAUUUUUUUUCUCUUUUGGUUGAUGGAUCACGUGAUUCUUCAACUAAAGAGCAAAUGGCGGUGGUAUUGCGUUAUGUGAACAAAAAAUGAGAAGCAAUUGAAAAGUUUUUGGGUGUGCAACAUGUCUCUUCUACAACUAGUAGCUCGCUUGAAGAGGCUAUUGAGAGAUUCUUUGCUACAACAAAUUUGAAUAUGUCCAAGUUACGAAGAUAGGGCUAUGAUAGAGCUAGUAAUAUGAAAUGUGAGCUAAAUGGCCUUAAAACAAAGAUUUUGAACAAGUAUCCUCAAGCAUUUUAUGUUCAUUGUUUUGCACAUCAACUUCAACUAGCUCUUGUAGCCGUUGCAAAGGGAAUUGAGGGUGUCACCAUUUUCUUCAACAAUGCUGGUAUUUUGGUCAAUACAAUUGGAUCAUCGUGUAAGCGUCGUGAUGCAUUUAGAGAGAAACAACAAGAACAAAUUAAGAAAGCUCUUGAUAUUGGUGAUCUUGAAACGGAUAGAGGGUUAAAUCAAGAGAAUAGUCUCAUGCAUCCUUGUGAUACACGUUGGAACUCACAUUAUGGUACUAUAGUUAGUAUUAUUGUCAUGUUUGAAGCCGUGGUGGAGGUGCUUGAAUGGAUUAAAGAAGAUACCAACCAAGACAAUUUUGGUGAAACAAGUCAGUUAUUCCAUAACAUACAAACUUUUGAUUUUGUGUUUCACCUUUUUUUUAUGAGACUCAUAUUGGGAGUUACAAAUGAGUUAUCACAAGCAUUACAAAAGAAAGAUCAAGAUAUUGUGAAUGCAAUGGCGUUAGUGGAAGUAUGCAAGUAAAGACUACAAUCCUUGAGAGAUGAUGACUUUGGGGACUUGCUUGAUGAUGUACAAAAGUUUUGUCAAGAGCAUGAUAUUGUUGUUCCUAACAUGGAGGAUUUGCAUUUUGUACCUGGAAAAUCAAGGCGUAAAGCUCCAAGACUCACAAACUUCCAUUACUAUCGUGUGGACCUCUAUUUUCAAGUCCUUGAUACAUAAUUAAAGGAAUUGAAUGAUCGCUUCAAUGAGGUAAACACCGAGUUGCUUCUUUGUAUGGUAUGUUUGAGUCCGGUGAAUAAUUUUGCAUCUUUUGACAAAGCAAAAAUUGUUCGUCUAGCUCAACUUUAUUCUCAAGAUUUUGAUCGUAUGGACCUCAUGAAUCUUCCAAUUCAACUUGACAAUUACAUUCACGAUAUGAAGAUGCAUAGUGAGUUUUCAUCAUUGAGAGGAAUUGGUGAUCUUGCAAAGGAGUUGGUGAAGACCGGGAGGUGUGCAAGCUACAUAUUAGUGUAUAAGCUUCUUACAUUCGCUUUGGUGUUACCGAUUGCAACCGCUUCUGUGGAGAGAGCUUUCUCUGCUAUGAAGAUUGUGAAAACACCAUUGCGUAACAAAAUAGGAGAUCAAUGGUUGAGUGAUAGCAUGCUUGUUUACAUAGACAGAGAUGUAUUUGCUUUUAUUGAUAUGAGCCUAUUAUGCGACGUUUUCAUGAUAUGAAACCUAGUCGGCAACAAUUGUAAUUUGUUUAAAUUGAUAAAUUAUGGAAGACAUUACUAUAUAAAAUGAUUUGGUUGUUGCUAUUCUUUUGAACCUUACACUCUUUUAACUUCACCCAUCCCCCCCCCCCCCGUCAAUUCUUGGCUUCGCCAUGGUCGUCACUGUCCUCAAGGGCAUUUCCAAUGUCGAAUGAGUCGUCACCUUGAGCCAAGAAAACAAUGGUAUCUUUAUAUAACUCUACCCCCUUCUGUAAAUGAUUGUGUUAUCGAUAUCUGUUUCCUUUUUCCGACAUGGGUUUUCAAAAAAUUGGUUUAUGUCCUUAAAUGGUCAACUCUGCUAGGUUUAAUUUCAUAUUGUUUUAUGUCUAAGAGAAUCGAAAUGUGGAAAAGAUUAUGUGUUUGUUCGAUAUUUUCGCGGUUAAUUGAAAUUGAAUUCUGGAUUUUGGGUAGUGAGUAGCUUGUUUGGACUCAAGGCAAGAGUUUAAUCUAUAGAUUUUCUUUUUUUCUAGUUUUAACUUCUGUGAGUUGAGAAUUUGAAAAUGUGAGUACUCAAAAUUUCCCAAACUUGGAUUAUAUUUAAUUUAGUUGAAUGCUGUUUCAAUGGUUCCUUUAAUUGUGUGUGAGUGGUCUGAUUCUAUGCUCAAAAUCUUGUGUUAUCUGAACUCAUAAUCUUGAUGGAGUAAUGACUGCUUACUGGUGAUUGUGUUUUACUGUUAUCAGGUCCUACAACCGUGAAUGUUCGUAUUACUGGACUUACCCCCGGGCCUCAUGGGUUUCACUUAGUGAGUGUUUUUGAAUUAGGUUCUUCAUCUUUGGAUUAGUAAACUUGUUUCUAAGUGUUUUUCUUUCUUGUGUAGCAUGAGUAUGGUGAUACGACAAAAUGGAUGCAUAUCCACAGGUAGGGCUUUAUAUCAUUUCAAGCUUAAAAUUUUAUGGUUAUAGUAUUAUGUAGUUAUAUUUGUGAUUUUAUUUUGAUGCCAUUCUAAUGAAUUUCUUUUUCCCUUACUAGGACCACAUUUCAAUCCUAAACAGUUGACACAUGGUGCUCCUGAGGAUGAAGUCUGUCAUGCGGGUGACCUGGGAAACAUAGUUGCUAAUGCCGAUGGUAAUUUCAUAUUUUAAUUCCCUUUACAAACUUGUUCUUUUCAAUACCACAACCUGUUAGAAUCUCAGAGACUAUGAUCUCUGUGGUAAGAAAUGAAUCGAAAAUGGUGAUGAAGAUUUCUUGAAAAAAAGUCUCAAAGAGUUGCUAAGAGAAGGUUCUCACAGAAAAUUUUCUUCUUCAUUCAUACCUCACACAAACCGUGCGAGAGGUAUAUUACUGUUAGAGAGAGAGAUUCUCUCUCUAUGAUACAAAACUCAAAUCCAACCAUUCAUGCAAUCUACCCUAUAAGAUAGUUACAUGUGUCAACAUAAAUCACUAACUCUAAGAUUACAUCUUAGCUGUCCAAUUGGAAUGUAAUCCAAUGGCUCACAUUUAAAUCUGUAAACUAAAACUAAAUACAAAUUUAUUCAGCUAAAACACUUAUAUUUCAACACUCCCUUUUAAGUGUUUAGCUGAGAUUACUCCAAGCUUUCUUCUCAAGUAUUCGAAUCGAUCACUGGCCAAUGCCUUGGUAAAAAUAUCUGCAGCUUGCUCUUCAGUUUUGUAGUACAGUAAAUCGAUCUCUCCAUCUUGCAAAGCAUCUCGAAUGAAAUGAAAUCUUCUGUUUAUAUGCCUUGUCUUAUGAUGAUGCACAUGGUUCUUGGUUAUGGCUAUAACUAAGGUAUUAUCACAUAGAAUUGGUGUAGCGUCAACCUGUUCUUCACCAAAAUCUGAGAGAACAAAUCUCAGCCAGAUUGCUUGUGAAGUGGCUUAUACUACACUAACAUAUUCAGCCUCUGCAGUGGAUAGUGCAACAUUGCUUUGCUUGACUGAUGCCCAAGAAAAUACACCUAAACCAAGAUUAAAUGCAUAUCCAAAUGUGCUUUUCAUAUGAUCCUCGCUUCUUGACCAAUCACUAUCACAGUAGCCAAUAAGCAUUGCUUCUUUCCAUUUCUCAUAUGUUAUACCAUAAUCAAGUGUGCCUUGAAUGUACCUAAGUACUUUAUUAGCAGUUCCCAUAUGUUUUCUAGUAGGACCAUGCAUAAAUCUUGCUAACAGACUUGCUGCAAACAUGAUAUCUGGCCUUGCAGCAGUCAAAUAUAACAAACUUCCAACUAUCUGCCUAUAUAAGCUUUCAUCAGCUUGUUCACUUCCAUCUGACUUAGACAAAUUUUCAUUCACUGCAAGAGGAGUAGCAACUGAUUUGCAAUCUUUGAGACCGAAUUUAUCCAAUAGUGUCUUUGCAUAUUUCUUCUGGUGCAAGAAAAUGCAAGUGUCAGUUUGUAUCACACCUAAACCCAAGAAGUGGUGCAGCAUCCCGAGAUUAGUUAUUUCAUACUGUUUCAUCAUCUCAAUUUUGAACUUCAUCAUCAACUCUUGUGAACUUCCAGUGUAUAUGAUAUCACCCACAUAUAAAGAAACAAUGAGUAUUCCACUUUAUGCAAUCCUUACAUAUAGUGUUGCUUCAUUAGGACUCAUUUGAAAACCAGCUUUAGUGAAGUAAGAGUUGAUCUCUUCAUACCAAGCUUUUGGAGAUUGCUUAAGACCAUAUAAUGCCUUCUUGAGUCUGUAAACUCCAUCUUCCUUGUUCUUGAUCACAAAUCCAGGAGGUUGAUCAACAUACACUUCUUCAUGUAAUACUUCAUUCAAAAAAUGCAGAUUUCACAUCUACUUGGAACAAUUUCCACCCUUUCUGUGCUGCCAAUGUAACCAAUGUUUUGAUUAUAUCAAGCCUAGUAACUGGUGCAAAAGUCUCAUUGAAAUCUAUUUCAGGCUUUUGAGAGUAUCCCUUUGCAACCAAUCUGGCUUUGUUUUUCUGCACUGAGUUAUCAAGGUUUAACUUGAUUUUGUAAACCUAUUUAACACCAAUUACUGGUUUAUCAGAUGGUCUACUAACCAACUCCCAAGUAUUGUUCUUCUCUAUCAUUGCAAUUUCACUCUCCAUUGCUUUCUGCCAUGCUUCAUCCUUAACAGCUUCUUCAAAAGUUUUAGGUUCAAUAAUGUACAAAUUGCAUCUUUCAUACACUUCUACAAUGCUUUUAUAUUUCAGUGGAGUAUGAUCGAAAUCCUGUGGACCUGAACUUUCACUUUGUCCAGUAGUACCACUUCUGACUUGUGUUUCAUCAAUGUUUCUUGGUGCCUUACCAUUCAUUUCUGACAUCUCAGCUCAAGUUAAGCUUGAUUCACCAGUCUCAUUUUCUUUCUCAGUAAACAUCUCAGUGAGUGGAACUGAAAUACUACAUUCCUUCUGUGUACUGCAAUCCCAACUUGCUUCCUCAUUGAAUACUACAUCUCUAGAUAUAAUUACCUUCCCAGAUUCAAUGUUAUACAACUUGUAACCUUUCUCACAGCUUCCAUACCCCAAAAAACACACCUUGUGCUAGACAAGUCAAGCUUCUGCCUCUGUUGUUCUGGGACAUGUGCAUAACACAGAGAACCAAACACCUUUAAAUGCUUAAUUCCUGGCUUUCUUCCACUAUAGGCUUCAAAUGGAGAUUUUUUUUUGUCCAAAGCCUUAGUUAGACACCUAUUUAAGACAUAUACUGCAGUGUUAAAUACCUCAGCCCAAAACUCCAGAGGUAUCUUCUUCUCAAACAUCAUACACUUAGCCAUCUCCACAAUGGUCUUGUUCUUCCUUUGAGCCACUUCAUUAUGCUGUGAUGAGUAUGCCACAGUGAGUUGCCUUUCCAUUCCUAUUUCUUCACAAAACCUGUUGAACUCAAUAGAUGUAUACUCUCAUCUUCUGUCACUUCUCAGUUUCUUCAACUUAUACCCACUUUGCAGUUCAACAGUAGCCUUAAACUUCUUAAAGACAUUGAACACCUCAUAUUUGUAUCUCAGAAAGUAAACCCAACACAUCCGAGUACACUCAUCUAUAAAAGUGAGAAAGUACCUAUUUCCAGCUUUUGUAACAGUUUGCAUUGGUCCACAAACAUUAGUGUGUACCAAUUCCAGUGGAAUAGUGGUCUUACUUGUUGUCUCUCUUGGAAAGGAAUCUCUACAAUGUUUCCCAAGAAUGCACCCCUCACACACUUCAUUGGUGUUCUUAAUUUUUGGCAAUUCAAGCACCAUUUCUUUCUCAUGUAGCAACUUCAAACUAUUGACAUUCAGAUGCCCCAUUCUUCUAUGCCAGAUCAAAGUUGACUUCCUCACACUUGCUUUUAAUGCAAAAUGCAAAUCUGUGUGAAGUUUCAAGGGAAAACUUUUGUUUCCUCUCAUUGGCACCUUAGCAACCAUAUUAGAACGAGAGCAGUCAUCAUAAAUUUCAGCCGUAUUAUCUCCAAAAAUCAGAAAGUAUCCAUGCUCCGUCAUCUGCCCUACAUUUAGUAGAUUCUCCUUAAGACCUGAGACAAGCAUUACUUCUUUGAUAUACCUCAUUCCCAUCAUAGUGUCCACCACCAAACUUUCUUUUCCAAUAACAUCAACCAAUUGUCCAGUUCCCAUUUCUACUUUUGCGUUUAUGCUUCUAUCGAUAUCAACUAGCACAUUUUCUCUGCCAGUCAUGUGGUUACUACAACCACUAUCCACAUACCAUCCAUCUUCAAUAAACUUCUUGUCAACUGCAUUAUUUACAUAGAACAUGGUUGGUGUGGGAAGAACCUGAGUUGCAAAAUUUAGCUGUUGAACACCUUGAGCACCUUUCUUAUUAUUGCAGUCCCUUGCAAUAUGACCAAUUUUCCCACAACAAUGACACUUCGGUUUGCCUUUAAGAAAACAAUCUCCAUAAUGGUAUUUAUCACAGUGCCUGCAAAGGUUUCUACCACCUUUUACAGCUGCAAUUUGCUUCCUAAAUUGAUAAGCAGGCUUUUGAUCCCACUUUUAAAAUUUUGGUUUCCAAUUCUUCUGGUAUCGAUUGCCUUGAUUUCCAGAAGAAUUGGCAGGUUUGGAAUUCACACUUAGACUUGCAAAUGCUCUCUCAAUCUUGUUCUCAUUAUGUCUCUUCAAUCUCUGUGUAAAACUUUUCAAUGAGGCAACUACCUCUUGAACCUCAAUCACAUCUACAUCCCUUGAGUGUUCAAUCACAGAGCAUAUAGGAUCAUACGCAGAGGGUAAACUAAUUAACAUUUUUUGCACAAUUCUCUCUUUAGACAGUUCAUCUCCAUAACUUCUCAUUUGAUUUAUCAGAUCAAACAAUUUUGUAAGAUAAACAGACAGGGACUCAUCAUCUUAUAUUCUGUAUAUUCAAAAUCUCUACGAAAGCCUUGUAAUUUAACACUUCUAACCUGUUUGUCGCCAUGAAAUUCUUGCAUCAAGAUAUCCCAAGCCCCCUUAGAGGUUUCCUCGUGAGAGAUCUGAGGGAAGAUCUCAUUGGAAACUGCUCCCUAAAUCAGCCCUAGCGCCUUGGCAUCUUACAUGAGCUUCUCCAUGAGAGUUGCAGUAUCACUCGAUUCCUCCUUCUCCUUCUUUGCAUCAGAUUCAUCAGCUCCCUUCAAAUUUGAGCACUUUACUCCCUUUUCAACGAACUCCCAUAAUCGAUGAGACUUGAAAAUAGUCUUCAUCCUUAUGCUCCAAAACUCAUAUUUCUCGCCGAUGAAGAUCAGCGUUCUCAACUCACCACCUCCAAAUCCUGCCAUGUUAGACACAGAUCUCGCAACCAAUUUCUUCAACUUUUAAAUUUUUCCUUCACAGAUUCAAUUCCCCAGUGUUAAGCGACCAAACCUGGCUCUGAGGCCAUGUUAGAAUCUCAGAGACUAUGAUCUAUGUGGUAAGAAAUGAAUCGAAAAUGGUGAUGAAGUUUUCUUGAAAAAAAUCUCAGAAAGUUGCUAAGAGAAGGUUCUCACAUAAAGUUUUCCUUUUUUCAUUCACACCUCACAUAAACCGUGCGAAAUGUAUAUUACCGUUAGAGAGAGAGAGAGAGAGAUUGUCUCUUUAUGAUACAAAACUCAAAUCCAACCUUCAUGCAAUCUACCCUAUGAGAUAAGAUUUUUACCUUCUAUGCAAAUAGGGGCAAAAUCACACGAAAUACUUGAAGAAUACAAGGAUGUUGUAGUAUAAAUGCUCAUGCAAGGUCGUUCUCCUCAAUGACUAUUUUCAUAAUUUAUGUAAAAACAAUUCCUAAUCAACUACUUAGAAUUAAAACUUGAGAAAAGAGAUUCUGAAAUUGGGUAAUAUUAAAAAACAAUUUUAAUUAAAAACUAAUAUGACAAAAGAAAAGAGUUUUAAAUACCAAUUUAUGAUAGCACUAGGGUUCCACCAUCACAUAGCAAUCCUACGAAUUUCUACCAAUUACUCAUGAUUUACACAUGCCACUUUGAAGGGUAGGUUUUCCUAAUAUAUAUUCUCCUCGUGAUAUUCAAGCAAGAAUGUAUAUCUAACAUGCAAUCUGUCUGUGAUAUUCAAAUCAAAUAUGAAUAUGCAAGAUCAUUAAGUUUUAUGAAAACCUUUUAAAGAACCAUGCAACCCCUAAGAGCAUGAUAUUCGCCUUAGACGAAAUUACAAUUAUCAAUCACAAGAAGCAAUACUCAAUCCUCCGGUGAUAUUCCGACCGAAUUGCAUCCAAUUACUUGUCUAAACAUCAUAAUGGUGGCCAGUCAUCAAGACAGUUAGAUAGUUUAAAACAGUGGUCAAUAAUUCAAAGUGUGCAUGCAAUCAAUCAUAAGCAAUUAAAUAAAAAUUACAUAUUCAUGCUAAGGCUCAAGGCUUCGCCCUAGCAAGAAGAAUUAGUUACGCAUAUUCAUAAUUGCAAUCACAGGAAUGAAAGCACCUUAAAGUAGAAAAUCUCCAAGAACCCUAGCAAAGUUCUGUGUUUGAAGUUGAAUAAUAAUAAGCGUAGAGAAAAAUUGUAGACGGCCAAGCAAUAUAUUUGCUAAGCCAUCGCACAAACCCUAAAACAUAAAACCCUAAAACAUAAGUCUCUUAUUCCAACUAGGAAACUAAAUAAUAAUAAGAUAUCUUAGAAAAUAAAGUCCUAAUUAAACUAGGAGAAUCUGCCAGGUAACCGUACAGCCACGUUUCUCAUGAUAGCUUGUUUUGAAGAUCAAGAAGUUCUGAACACAUCUUCAGAAGGCCACGAACCCAUCCGAGGUCAUCUUAGGCUCUGAAACGCAAUUCAAGCCAAAAAAUUCACUAUUCCAGCACUGCACAUCGCUCCUUUAUUUUAUUGCCAGAAAAUAACCGCUUGAUGGAAAAAUUUGAUAUUUUGAUACAAUCAAGCCAAGUGACUCACGAACGUCCUCCAACUAGAAUUACUCCAAAAUUCGUCAAUUUGACCACGUUUUGCUCCAGAGGAAGUCGAAAGUCCUAUAUUAGAAAUACAAUUCAAAUUAUCAAAAUUCUUCCACAAUAUGAACCAAAAUAUACUAAGAAUAGGGUUAAAUAUACAAUAUAAAAUUCACUUAUCAAAAUACCCCCAAACUUAGCUUUUUACUUGUCCUCAAGCAAAAUAAAACGAGAAAACAAAAAUAAAAACUAACAAACUAGACAUUUAACUAAAACUAAAACUUAGCUAAAACCAAAUUCUCACUUUCAAGUUGCAAUCCAUAAAAAAUGUUAAAAAUCAGAACAUCUUUUCAAAAGUUCCAACCAAUCCCACCACAGAGUCUAAGCCAUUUAGAAUCAAUUAGAAAAGAAUUCACAAAUUUCCUUUGGUGUAAAGUGAACCAACAUAGUUAAGGAGACUCGACCAAAACUCUUACCUCUCAUCCCUUUAUUCAUACUUCACACACUAACUUCACAUAUAUGUUUCUUUCUCUUCUUUUCGACUUUUUUCUUUUUUUUUCUUUUUUUUCUUUUUUCAAUAACAGUAGUGGUCGUGCAAUGUUUAGGGUCAAUGAUUCCCAUGUAGCUUUCUAUCCAACCCAUAUAGCGAGCUUUAGGUCAAUGAUUCUCAAACGACUAGGGCUUUAGGGCACUAGGUGUAGAACACCCCUAAGGACUUAUUAACCUGAGCUGGAAAGGCUACGAAACCAACUAACCACCAUGCCUCAUGCCAAAACUCUACCGUUUGACGUGAGAGUCACUACUGAUUAGGCAGGACUGGCCCAGUUACUAGGCAAAACCUCGGAUGAGACAAUUAUUACUUUAUAACACAUACUAACUCUAUUUUAUAUAGAAAAAAAUAUAAAUACACUUAGACAAAAAGUAAGUGUUUCAAUCUCACUCCCCACAAACCAUGUUGGUGUGAUGUGCAAAUUUCAAAGUAUAAUUCAUGAAUUAGUGUCCAAACAACGAUAAAUAGAAAAGACUCUAUUGGGGAUUAAUCUUCACCUUGUCCAUUUGUUUUAACGUUUAAAAUAAUCCAUGGAUAUUAACUUAAAAGCGAAAAAAAUUUUAACUGACACAAAAACAAAAAUCCGAAAAUUUUACUUUCCCACCCCCAAACUUAUUUCACACUUUGUCCUCAAGGUGUGGAAAAUAAAUAGAAACUAAAAAAAACAAAAAAAACAAAACUCCAAAAGAUAAAACAAAAGUCUAGACCAAAUAACCUAAAAGAAAAAGGAAAAUAGAAACGAAACAAAGAACUUAAAAAUAAAUAAAUAAUAGAACAAACAGAAAAAAAGGAAAAGAUUCACCUGGACAUGACAAACAUUGGGCCUUGAAGAAAAUGGCAUGCAAACACAUAACAACCCAAUUAGUUGAGGCAUUGACUCAUACACUUGCACACAUGUACAUCAUAACCCUAAUUGAUUGUUUACCACACCUUGGAUUCCUUGUUGCACUUCCUCGAGCCCAAAGCUCUUUACUUUUCAUCAAAACCAGAGCCAAACGGCUCUCUGUUUUUUUUCAUUUUCAAAACACACAUGUCUGACAAAUCACGGGGAAACGGGCAACCUUUGACACGUGGCAAGCAUCAGUACAUUGAACCUCUUAGGAUUCCAAACGAACGGUACUUUAACCAUGCUGAAUGCUUUGGAUACAUGAAGUUUCUCUCAUUUUUAUUUUGUAUUUUAGAAACUGAAAGAACACAUUCAUUUCUCUUAGCCCUCAUUUCUCUCCAUAAUGAAAAGAGUUUUCCUUCUCUCUUUCUAGAAAAUCUGAAGAGACUCUCUCGAAGCUCUUCCCAUGUUCAAAACUCUCAAACCCAACCAUCAAUUCAAACCUCCAUUUCACAGCAGCUCUUUCAUCCUCUCUAAGCACUGUAUUCGUAGCCUUCCAUAACCUAGCAACAAACAGACCUCCAUGAGUCCCUAGUCGUGGUAGAGUGAGCCGAAAACCUAAGAUGCUAAAGGUAAAAUCCUCCUCAAUUUGUGUUACUUUCGUUUCAGCUUUAUGUAUUUGGGUGAAAUGUAGCAAGAGCUAACACAUGCAUGUGUUUUUAUUCGUAUGAAGUCCCCCAAACUUGCAAAUCUGAGCCAAUCUACACCGCGCACUCUUAUUUGCAAAAAUCUGAAACUAGCUAGUUUCUGCCAUAGAAAUGAGAGCACAAUGCAGCUCCAAUCAUCCCACAGAGGUGCACAUUUUCACUCAAACAGCGUAUUGUGGUGAUUUCCAUGUCUCAUAUAACUCCAUCCUGCAAGUGUAUAAUCUAUGUGUCUCGUUUGUGUGCAAAGGUUUUCAAGCUGGAAGCUGAACAGCAGCAAGGACAAGGCAAACAUGGAAGACAUCGCAGACCUGAGUCAUGCAGAGGUAAAAAUUUUGUUCUCCACCAGAGAUGACCCCCAAAUGCAAAAAUGCUGCCUCAUUUACCCCCAUACUUAAAUACUGGCAUCUGUGGCAUUCGUAGCACUUUCGAAUGUAAAAGCGACAAAUCCCAGAAGUACCACAAACUUGAUGAUAUACGAACAUUUCCACUAUAACUCAUACACAUGAUUGUUGUGUUGCAGGAAUGACCCCAGAUUGGCAAAAACACAUUGGACUGACCAAACUAUCGGCCUACAAGGAAGAAUGGCCACAUAGCAAAAUAUAGAGGUAUAACAUCCCAUCCCUGCUUGUGUAUUACAGAUGGGGUUGAUGUUGAUGUCGAUCUGCUACUGGAUGCAUGAUUCCGUCUAAAAUAAUCUCUAUGUGCAUGAAUUCUUGUUUUUCUUGUUUGCUGGCUGCAUAAAAAUCAAGUGUUGAAAUCAGAGAUAAAAUGUAGAAGAUACUAUCAGUAAACAAAAAUAAAACAAGUAAAAGCAAAUAAUUUUUUUUUUAAUUUUUUAAUUUUUAUUUCAUGUUUUAGUUUGUUUGUUUUUUUUUAUUUUUAAUUAACACUAAAUGACAGCCUAGGAAUUUAAAUGCAACUAGAAAUUGAAAGUAAUGAAAUAAAAAUGAAACAAAGUAAGGAAAAAGUUAGAAAAUUGGGUUGCCUUCCAAUAAGCACUUUAUUUAAAGUAUGUAGCUAGACGUUGCAGAAGCCUGGUGGUCAGAUUACCGGUUCCUUCAGAGUCAGUGACUUGCAUGCACUAAACUUCCUUAGGAAUAGCUUUAGUAUAGACUUUUUGACCUUGAGCACACAACCCUUGCCUUCUAGUUCAAUGUCCACGUUACCAUUUUGAAAAACUUGCUUAACCAUAUAAGGUCUCUUCCACCGACACACUUGUCUCCCUAAAAUUCACUUGAAACUAGAAUUUAACAACCACACCUUUCUACUAAGCCGUAUUUUUUUACAACUUGGAAUAUUUUGCAACUUUUUAUUCUUGCCCUUGACAUUUGGAUGUUUUUGGUCAAUCUGGUGGCUUAGAUAGUUUUCAAACAAAGUUGGUUCUACUUUUGAUUUUUGCACUUCAACCAACUGAACUUUUUGCUGUUGCACUUAACUAUUACACUCACGAAUCACAUCUUGAGUCUUUAUGGGCAAAUGGUCAAUUAAUGAUGUGGUCAUAAAUUUGGCACUAGGCAAACCAUCUAAUGCAUCAACACGCAUGCAUUCUUGCUUAUCACCUGAAUGUGUGGUAACUUCAAACAAAUUGAAAACAACUGUUUGAUCUUCAACCCUUAGUGUUAACGUUCCUGAGUCCAAGCUGUUGCCAUGCAGGGUCAUCCUAAAAUGAUGGGUGUUGUCAAAUCUUCAUCCAUGUCCAACACCAUAAAAUCAGUUGGUAAAUAUAAAUUGUCAACCUUAACAAUAACAUCUUCGAUGAUUCCUGUAGGAUAGGUAAUUGAACGGUCAGCCAAUUGAAUAAUGUUGGAGGUUGGCUUCAACUUGCCUUCACCUAAACGUUUAAAAACAGAAUAAGGCAUUAAGUUUACACUAGCACCUAAAUCAAUUAACGCACUUUUAAAAUCAGAAUUGCCAAUACUACAAGAAAUAGUAAAACUCCCUGGAUCUUUCUUCUUUGGAGGCAAUUUAUUAUUUUGUGAGCACAAUUUUCUCUGUUUCCAUGAGCUUUUUCUUCUUAGUGCAAACAUCUUUCCAAAAUUUGGCAUAAGAAGGAAUCUUUUUAAUCGCUUCCAACAAUGGUAAAGUAAUUUGAACUUUAGCCAAUGUUUGUAUGAAGUCUUUUAACUGCUGAUCUUUAGCCUUCGGUAUUAAUCGUUCCGGAUAUGGUAAUAGAGGUAUCUAAGCAGGCUCAGAAACCUGUUUUGGGACAAUUUCUGCACGAGUCAGAUUCUGUUUUGCUGCAAAAUUGGCAGGUUCUGCCACUGUUUUUGCAGAUUCUGUAGAGAUUUUCAUUGCUGGCAGAUUCUGUUCAACGCCAUUUUCACAGUUGUCAUAACUUUUACCACACCUUAAAGUCCAUAUUGCACAACAAUCCUAUGUACCUCUUGGAUUAGGCACCGUUUGACUAGGAAACCUUCAUUUUUCUCUAUCUGAAAUCUGUGCAACUAGCUGCCCAAAUUGUAACUCUAAACUUUUAAUUGAUGCCUCAAUAUUCUAAAAUCUUUGAUUGCUGCCUUCCAUGAAUGUUUGUGUUGUUGCUGCCAAUUUAGCCAUUUGAUCCUCCAAUGAUAGUUUGGAUGGUACAAAAGGUUUUUGUGCUUAUUGGAAUGGUCUUGUAUUAUUUUGAUUGUCACCCCAUUUGAAAUUAAGAUGAUCAUUCCAUCCUGGAUUGUAAUGAGUUGCAUAUGCAUCAUUCUUAGGCCUUUGAUAGUUGUUCAUCAUAUUAACAUGUUGCUCCACAAGCUCUAGGUAAAAUUCUUUAUGUGGACAGCCCAAUAUGUCAUGUGUAGCCAUGCUGCAGAUAGUGCAAAUUGUUGCUGCAGGUGGCUGCUGCCGUGUAGAAUUUGAUAUAUGUUGUAAAAUAAUGUCAAACUUUGCAUUAAUUUUCUUCUCCAUUUUUUCCAUUUGUGCAGACAUAUUAGGAGAACUUGUUGAUAACUCAAAAAUGCCAAUUUUCUAUGAAUGUUCUGCUGCCCAUUGUUGAGAUUCUAUAGCCAUCAUAUCAAAUAAUUCAAACGCUUCUCUUGCAGAUUUAUUUGACAAUUAACCCCCAGCUGAUACAUUAACAUGGUUUUUAGAUGUAGGAUUAAGCCCAUCAAAGAAAAUAUUCAUUUGUGUAUCUGGAUCAAUAUUAGCAUGUGGACACUUUAUAUACAUCUCUGUAUAUCUCUCCCACACUUCAAGAAAUUCUUCGUUUGGCUUUUGAGUGAAUGUCAUAAUCUUCCACUUGUAAUUCAAUGUCUUGGAUGCUGAAUAAUAUUUGUUCAGAAAUCUUGUAUGCAAUUGUUGCCAAGUAGUAAUGCUAUUAGCCGGUAGAGUGAAUAACCUCCCUUAUCCUUCAAAGUAAAAGGAAAAAGACGUAACUUAAUAGCCUCGGCAGAAAAACCCCUGAUCAAAAUAUUUUUGCAACCCACGAUGAAUUUUGCAAUAUGUAAGUUCUUAUCCUUGUUAGGCAGCCCACGAAAAGUAGGUAGAACUUCAAGCAUAUGGUGCUUGAUCUCAAAUGAAUCACCCUCUUCUUGUUUAGGAUACACAAUACAAUUAGGAACAUCAUUGGCUCGGGCAUCCAACGACUCUCUAAGUGGCCUGCCUUUUGCAGGCAAUUGCAACGCCAUUGUAAUUUUACUGUCCACAAAACCAGCAAACAAUUCCUGCAGAAACGUGCCUUGUAGUGAACAAUCCCAAACCAAAUUAUUUUCUCGCCUCUGUCUGUGCAGUGUGCGUUCGGGUUCUGGAUCAAACUGUGCAAUCUGAGCAGUUCCUGAUCUAGUCUAGACCAUGCAGUUUGCAAAAUCUGCAAUAAAACUAAAGCGUUAAAAUAAUUUGAAAUUUUUUUUGGAUGAAAAAUAAUUAAAUAAAUAAAUAAUCAGAAAAAGUUUAAACAAAAAUUAUCUAAAACAAUCCCCGGCAGCGGCACCAAUUUCUUGAUAGGAUUUUUACCAUCUAUGCAAAUAGGGGCAAAAUCACACAAAAUACUUGCAAGAAUACAAGGAUGUUGUAGUAUAGAUGCUCAUGCAAGGUCGUUCUCCUCAAGGACUAUUUUCAUAAUUUAUAUAAAAACAAUUCCUAAUCAACUACUUAGAAUUAAAACUUGAGAAAAAAGAUUCUGAAAUUGGGUAAUAUUAAAAACAAAUUUUAAUUAAAAAUUAAUAUGACAAAAGAAAAGAGUUUUAAAUACCAAUUUAUGAUAGCACUAGGUUUCCACCAUCACCUAACAAUCCUACGAAUUUCUACCAAUUACUCAUGAUUUACACAUGCCACUUUGAAGGUUAGGUUUUCCUAAUAUAUAUUCUCCUCGUGAUAUUCAAGCAAAAAUGUAUAUCUAACAUGCAAUCUGUCUAUGAUAUUCAAAUCAAAUAUGAACAUGCAAGAUGAUUAAGUUUUAUGAAAACCUUUUAAAGAACCAUGCAACCCCUAAGAGCGUGAUAUUCGCCUUAGACUAAAUUACAAUUAUCAAUCACAAGAAGCAAUACUCAAUCCUCCAAUGAUAUUCCGACCGAAUUGCAUCCAAUUACUUAUCUAAACAUCCUAAUGUUGGCCAGUCAUCAAGAUAGUUAGAUAGUUUAAAACAAUGGUCAAUAAUUCAAAGUUUGCAUGCAAUCAAUCAUAAGCAAUUAAAUAAAAAUUAUAUAUUCAUGCUAAGGCUCAAGGCUUCGCCCUAGCAAGAAGAAUUAGUUACGCAUAUUUAUAAUUGCAAUCACAAAAAAUAUUAUUAAGAAUAAAAGGAAUGAAAGCACCUUAAAGUAGAAAAUCUCCAAGAACCCUAGCAAAGUUCUUUAUCUCUGAAGUUGAAUAAUAAUAAGCGUAGAGAAAAACUGUAGACGGCCAAGCAAUAUAUUUGCUAAGCCAUCGCACAAUCCCUAAAGCAUAAGUCUCUUAUUCUAACUAGGAAACUAAAUAAUAAUAAAAUAUCUUAGAAAACAAAGUCCUAAUUAAACUAGGAGAAUCUGCCAGGUAACUGUACAGCCACGUUUUAGUCUCAGAUAUCCUCCAAAUCCGGCCCAUGCUAGCUUGUUUUGAAGAUCAAGACGUUCUGAACACAUCUCCAUAAGGCCAUGAACCCAUCCGAGGUCAUCUUGGGCUCCGAAAACGCAAUUCAAGCCCAAAAAUUCACUAUUGCAGCACUGUGCAUCGCUCCUUUAUUUUAUUGCCAGAAAAUAACCGUUUGAUGGAAAAAUCUGAUAUUUUGAUACAAUCAAGCCAAGUGACUCACAAACGUCCUCCAAUUAGAAUUACUACAAAAUUCGUCAAUUUGACCAUGUUUUGCUCCAGAGGAAGUCAAAAGUCCUAUAUUAGAAAUACAAUUCAAAGUAUCAAAAUUCUUCCAAAAUAUGAACCAAAAUAUACUAAGAAUAGGGUUAAAUAUAUAAUAUAAAAUUCACUUAUCAUCAACACAAAUCACUAACUCUAAGAUUAUAUCUUAGUUGUCCAAUUAGAAUAUAAUCCAAUGGCUCACAUUUAAAUCUGUAAACUGAAGCUAAAUACAAAUUUAUUCAGCUAAAACACUUUUAUUUCAACACAACCCAGUUAAUGUACUAAGAGAGAUAUUGUGGGGAUGCAAGGAUGGCAGAGGCAACAAUCGUGGAUAACCAGGUAAUCAUUGAGCUGGGUAAUGCUUUCCCAUAAGAAUGUGUGUACCUUCAGGGCAUGUUUAUCUUUAUUUCCAUACAGGUUUUAGUUUGGUGUCUGACAUUUUUAUGUUCAUUUGGUACUGUAUUCACCUUAGUAGUAUUUGAUGACUCAUAUUUUGGUUUUGGCUAAAUUUUGUAGAUACCAUUAACUGGUCCUAAUUCUGUAAUUGGAAGAGCACUUGUUGUUCAUGAGCUUGAGGAUGACCUUGGAAAGGGUAAGUACUAAGUAGUUUAUAAUCAACUUGUUGAAGAAACUUGUUAGUAAAUUUAAAGCACGAGUGGAGAAAAAUUUAUAUGCAAUGGUUGUGCAUGGUUGGAACUAGAAACUAACUCUUCUUAUCCUUUUGAGCAAAGCAUGUGGGUGGGUAAUGACAAGAAAGUUUAACAAGAAACAUUUGUUUCCUUCCCCUCCGUUUUUAUUUGUUGGGGAAUGCAGAGAAGCAAGUUACUACCCUUGAUGGUUCUUUCUCAUUCUUCUUAUUUACUUCCUCAAUCACAUUUGGUUUGCACUUGUAGGUGGACACGAACUUAAUCUAAGCACUGGCAAUGCAGGUGGAAGAUUGGCAUCUGGUAAGCAAGAAAAUUUGAUUUCACAUUUAUUUCUCUUUUCUUUUUAAUCCCUUUUCUGUUUUACUGUUUGAAAAAAAGAUUCUAUGCUGUAUGUUGCUCCUUUAUCUAGUUUGUGUUGGAAGAAUCUGAUAAAUUGGUGACGAGGAAUAAUUUUUCUCAGGAAAUAGGGUAAUAUUUCAUUAUACAUGGGCCUUUGUGCGUAAUUUUUCCAUUAGAUGUAGCACAUUAAAUUUUCCUCUAUUGUAUGCUUUUAUGAUGAGAGAUAAACAAAAAGAAAAUGUCCAUGACUUACCUGUGUUAAGGUACUGUAAAAUGUGAAAUUGUGAUCAACAAGUUUGUUAUGCAGAGAGCCUCAGGAAACAUUAUACCUUCUAUUAAAAUUUUAUUGGGUAAAUUCAGGGUAUAAUUUAUGCAUGUAUUUCUGUGUGUGUGUAUACUAUAAUAUAGCAUUAGUAACUCUUUCAAGACCUCUAAGCAUUUUCUAUGUUUAAUAAGGGUCUUGAGAAACCUUGAUAUUAUUAGCAAUCGCUGUUAUACUUGUAUAUAUGGAUGAUGAGAGUUGAGUAUGUUGUACUCUAAUGUGAAGAUGAACUAGCAUCACAUAUAAAUAAUUCAAAAUAAAUAGGCAAAAAGAUAUACUGGUCAUAUUUUUCUGUUGAAUUAUAUCCGAAAUUUUGUAAUUGUCUCAAUAGUCAAUAAACUAAUUUAAUUAAAAAUGUUAGAGUGAUGAAUUCCAGUUCUUUUUUGUCCCAACUUACGGGUGGAAAUUGUUAUUUGGCCCAACGUGUGGAUUGCUGUUGCAGUCUAUAAUACUGGAAGGACAUAAUCCAAUUGAUAGGUGACUUCAAGUAUGACAUCUUUUGUUGGGCACUCUGGCAUGGGUUUGGGGCAAAUAGUUUGUGUAUGGGUCAUCUGAGAUACUUAUAUGUUGAUAAAUGGCUAGAUCCUAAUGGGUGCAUUCAUGAAGCCGUUCUGCUUAUGUAAUGGUCUUGGUAUUGGUUCAUCAAGUCCUAGGAUUAAUUUCUCUCAUCGUUAGCUUCAUAAAGAAGGUUUUGAGAACCAUUUGGAGAAUCACUCUCUAGUCCUCCUCUCUCUCCAAUUAAAUUGUAGUUCUAGUAAAUAGUUAGUAAACAAAGGGUGCAAGGGGGAUUGGGUUGAGACUGACUAUCUUGUGCAUUUCAAUCUGGUUAUAGUAACGGCAGCCUAGCCUUCAUUAUUUGUUCCAUCGGUUAGUGCUCUAUAUGAUAGUCUCCAGUAAUAACGUUGCCGUUGCACAUAUAAUGGAGAGGCUUUACAUUAGGCAUACAACAGCUAUGCACAACAUUGGAAGAAAGGAACCAGUAUAUGGUUCUCUGCUCCCUAACUUCUGAGCUUAUCUGUUGUACUGUGAAUGUCAUUGCCCAGGGGAACAAUGCUUUUAUGGACCAAGUUAAACGUACUAUUAGUUUUGCUCCAGGUUAUGGAACCAAUUCCCUCAUCAAAAUAUCCGGGGCGACACGUAUUUCAGUCAUAUACUAGUUAAUUAGGAUGAAGUAUGGUUAACUAGAUGAUAAUUGGGAAUAUAGUUUCUGAGUUUUUCUGGAUACCCUUGGUGCUUAGAACGUCAUGACAUAAGUUGCUUUAGUUCUACAGAUGCAUACUGCCUCAAGUGUCAAUAGGGGUUAAAAUUUCUUUUUGUCUCUUCCCACAAUCACUAUAUUCUUGCUUGUUUCCAUGGUUUCAUUAAAUUCUCAAUUUCACUUUUCGUUAUGAUCUUGUGCGUGCAGGCGUGGUUGGUUUGACACCGGUGUAAUCGGAACGUCCUUGCCAAUCAGUUUGCUCUGAAGAAUUGGCUGCUGUGGUUCUAGAGUUUCUCAUAUAGAGCUUAAUCUAUUGAGGGUGUAAUGUAACAUUGUGGACAAAUUCAUCAUACCAUUUGUGGAGUAUUUUGAUCUCAAUAAACUUGAGUUGCUAUGGUUACAAUAUGAAUGAAGAACAUGCAAUUGACUUUUGAAAGCAGCUAAAUUGGAUUUAUAAUGCUCUUUCAUCCAUAAGAUUGAGCACAAUUCUUGAGUUAAGUAUGCG
rnacentral:lncRNA from 1 species